AAUGAUUUUGGCAGGAGCCAAGUUUUGUGAGAUAUAUAAGCCAUGUUGAUUAAUUGAGUAAACUGAAUAUUCAUGUUAUGAAACAUAUAUUGAAAAAGAAUAUUUUAAUUCGUCUCCAUUUACUCGCUUUUAGAUAGUUUAGAUGGUGUCUGUUUACUCACUGGGAUUUUAUAAUCUCACCACCCUCAUUUCCUCACAUUUCAAGCUUAGGGAAUUCCAUAGUUAACUGACUUUGACAAGGACCUUCAUUUGGACUUGAAUCUGCAAAAGCUGUAGGUUUUUAGCUUUCGAUGCAUUUUGGUCAGUUAGAGGCCCACGUGUCGCUGUAAAAGUAAUUUUAUACUUUAGUUAUCUGAUUUGAAGUAUGUAUGAACAUAUUUAGCUUUUACACCAUGUUUUUGGUGGGUUUCGAUAUUUUUGAAAAAAAAUGACGAAUAUGCCCCUGUGAGCUAGAAAAUAAUAUUUUAUUGUUUUGAUUUGAAAAUGACUUAUGAUUUCUUGAAAUGAGAGAUUUAAUAACUGUCGCUCAUCGGGGAGAUGUGGAAGCUAAUGCUAAGCCUUGCGGGGUUUCGAUCGGCAUUCGGGGUAAUGAGUGCCUAUCGAGACGUCGCGGCGGUUGUCACGGGCUCAAUGGGAGUUUCGGGUCGUGACAGCUAUCCAAUCAAAUGAAGGUGUUUUCCAUCCAUUUAAAACUUCUUCUUGGGGUUUAGUUGAGCUUCUUUCAUCAGCCUCGUUCAUUUCCUAUGCAUUUUUUAUGGACAAAACCAUGCUAUGUGUUGCAUUCAAUCUCCCUACAAUUGUAAUGGUUUUACUCUAAAAAAUCUACAUAUUUCUCCAUUUCCACAAUAGCUAACACAUUACUCCAAACAAAACACUUCAGCUAACUCCAUUCUUAUUUGCUUUGGACUUGUUCAAAUUAUAAAUGAAGCAUUCUUUAGCCGCAAGAUUGAAAAAGGUAAUGUGUUCACAUGUAGGUAAGACACGAAGCCAAGUUGGCACAGUCUUAGGACAAUCUUGAAAAGCAUGUAUAAUUGAUUCAUCUUUUGAGCCACAUUGCCUACAAACAUCAUUGUUUGAAAGGUGUAUGCGAUACCACUCCUUGUUUGUUAGUAACCUAUCUUGAAGACAUUGUAGAAGGAAUAUACAUAUCUUUUCUAGCCUAACCCAUUUUCAUGCUAGCCUCCAUACACCAGAAUUAUGAUUCAUAUUAGAGGUCUUAACGUUCUUAAAAAACUCAUAUGCCAUAGCAACUGUGACGUGGCUCAAAGAUGAUAAUGCCCAAUAAGGUUUAUCUAAGGAAGAAGAUGAUAAGGAUGGAGUAAUAGUUUUCGAAAACAAAGUUAUUUCAUUCAUAGGAAAAUAAAUUGACAACUAUCAAAAUACCAUAUACCAUCUUGGUGCACAAAGUCUUGAACUUUACUAUAAUCUUCAAAUAUAAUUCCCUUCAACCUUGCAGCUUCAACAAGUGGUCUUUCACUAAUCCAUGUAUCCAUUUGAAAAUAGGAUUGAGACUGUUACCAAUUACCCAACAAACGUUGGUUUUGAAGAUUCCCCAUAGGUGACAAAUAGAUAACCAAAAUGAAGAAGAAUUUGAACUCUGUAGUCUAUCAGGGCACGUAUGUCUGCCAAAAUUAUACUUAGCACAAUUUACAUGUACCCAUAAUGGAUGCUGUUUAGAGAUGAUAUUCCAACAAGCUUUAUUCAUUGUUGUUAAAUGUCAAACACCCAAUCCCCCCCCAUCCUUCGAUUUGCACACAUCACUCCAUCUCAUCAGAUGCAGCUUUCUUGAAUUUUUAUCUCUUCCUUAUAGAAAUCUGUGACAAAAGGCUCAAUAUUUUUGCAAAAUUCUAGUGGAAUCGCAACUGUCUACAUUGUCUAAUAUGGGAUUACAGAUAGAACAAACUUUAUUAGGAUAAGCCUGAUAGUAGUAAAAAGUGUUGAGACAUUCCAAUUAGCCAACUUCUUAUGUACCUUUCCUUCUAAGUAUUUAAACUAACUCAUUUUUUCACAUCCAUGUAGGAAUGAUACCUCCAAAUAUUUACCCAUAUCCACUAAAUGUUUAAAGCCAGAAUUGUUUGCUUUUGCAUCAAUAUGACUUUGGUCAGCAUUACUUUAACAACAAAAGGGUGAUUUUUCCACAUUAAUCUUUUCAUUAGAGCAAACACAGCAAUCAUCAAGAACUCCUUUAAUCACUUCUAAUAGCAACAUUAAAGCGUCCGCAAACAAUAUUAAAUCAGCUAGUAAAAAAUAGGUGAGUCAAUAGGGGUUUAUUUUUGCUUAAUUUAACUAGUUUCCACAAACCUUGCAACACUGCCUUUUUUAUAUCAUGUACAAAUCUUUCCAUACAUAACACAAAGAUAUAAGAAGAUAAUGGAUCCCCUUGUCGAACUCCUCUAGUUGGAUGAAAGCUUUUCGAUAAUGUUCCAUUCCAAAGUAUCUGUGAGUUGUAACCACGCUAGCUUGAAACUAAAACAUUAAUUAAGCAUUCAGGAAUUUGUACAUCCACUAGAGUAUCAAACCCUAAACCAAAAAAAAAAAGUGGAAAACGCUCUUAACCUUUUGCACUUCCCCCCCCUUCCCCAAACCCAAACAAUGGUGGCUGGCCGGCCGCCAGACCCUCCAAACUCACGGUCGCCGGAGGCAGCACCCCAAUUAAGGCCACCGACAUCAAGCCCAAGCAUGUCAGUGGAAAACCCAUCACUGCUGCAAGUUCCCCAAAGUGUUCUGCAAGCAACGUCUAGUCAAAAACUUGAGCCAUCGUCCCCAAGGUUUCAAAGAAAAUCGUUUCUAUCUAUCGCGACUGGAGAGAAGCCCCCUAUAAUCCCCAUCACCCGAGACCCAGUUAUGUACAAGGAUCGACCGGCAGCAGUGUUUUUUGAAGACGAAAUCCAAACCUUAGCUCGACCUUUCAUACUCUCGCUUAUUAGCAAAUUCUCAUGCAUGCCGAAACUAGUUGAUAUUAAAGCUGCGUUCAGAGGAAUAGGGUUGGCCGGAGCAUACGAAAUCAGGUGGUUAGAUUACAAGCAUGUCCUCAUCCACCUUUCUAACGAACAGGACUUCAACCGGAUUUGGACUAAGCAAAACUGGUUUAUAGCAAACCAGAAAAUGCGGGUAUUCAAGUGGACUCCGGAGUUUAAAGUAGAAAAGGAAUCCCUGAUAGUUUCGGUAUGGAUAUCGUUCCCAAAUCUUAAGGCACAUUUAUAUGAAAAAUCUGCAUUAUUAUUAAUAGCUAAAACUGUGGGAAAACCCCUGCUAGUUAAUGAGGCAACGGCCAAAGGUUCUCGCCUAAGUGUUGCAAGAGUCUGUGUAGAAUAUGAUUGUAGAAAGACUUCAGUGGACCAGGUAUGGAUUGUAGUACAAAAUCGGGCAACUGGUGAGAUCAACAAUGGUUAUUCACAAAGAGUGCAGUUCUCGACAUUACCGGACUACUGCCACCACUGCUGUCACGUAGGACACCGUGAAGUUGAUUGUAUUGUCUUGGGUAAUAAGCCCAAACCACUCGGAUCAGGUAAAAUCCAAGUCAAGAGCAAUGCUGGGAAUGGGAUGCAGUCGAUUGCGAAGAAGGAAGGAACGGAAAAAUUCUCAGAAAAAAGAAAAAAUAUUGAAAGCUACGAAAUAGCAACAAAACAGCAACAAAGAUGGCAAGUUGUGAAUGGAGUAGGCCCUAGUGGGGUGAAGAACUCACAGGGCAAGGAAAAGGAUUCGAAAAAUAAUCCUAAGGAGGUUAGGGAUUCACAAAAUAAUCCUGAGGAGGUUAGGGUCCUAGUCUCGAACCGAUUUCAAGUUAUAUCGGAAGAGGAGGAAGUCGGUGUUGGAAAAGGAUUCACAUCGGACGAGCUGUCGCAUGCAGACGAACAACAGAGACAGAUGACGGGGGAGGCGAACAUGCACGGUCACGAUGGUCCGAAUGGGGCAGAGAUGGUUGCAGCCUGUUUUGCAAAGGAGCAGUACGAGAAGGGCAAUGCACAAGAACAUUUUCAUGUAAAAGGAAUGCAUGCUAAAAAUGGCAAUGACGUGGCAGAAAGGAAAAGGACAGCACCCACAAAAGAAAAGCCAGAAAUGGCUCCAACUAUUGACAAAUCCAAAGCACUUAUUUCCCCCGUCAUGCAAGACAAGGAGGGGUAGAAAGAAUGCAGCCCGAGUACUAAGUAUUUAGGUGUAAGAGUAACUGCAGCUGACGAGACUCGGCAGCAUGAAGUGGGUCCUAAGUGUGCUGGGAACAAUUCAAAAAAUCACCCCUGCAGGUCACCAAUGCAGGUAACAACCCAAUUGAGUGGGGUCAGACAAACUACUGCAGCAAACGGGCCCAAUGGGUCAGCGAACAGACUUGGAGAGAGUGGGGAACAUCACCCACCUGCAGGAGAUGUGACAUGGCAGCACGAAAUGGGACAAAUGGGUGUUGAAAAAAUUUCAAACAAUUAUUUUCCUAAGCAUCCAACGUAGGCAAUAUCGGUCUCACAGCAGAACGGACAGUGGAAAGAUAAGAAAGGUCUUGAUGAACAAAUGGUGCAGUGGGCUGGACGGAAAAAGACAUAGCAAUCCCAGCAAAGCACGAUGGGACAUCACUGCAGGAAACAAAGCAUGAAGCUGCAGGUCAAAAUUCAAAAAACUGCCCUAACGCCAUUUUACCAGCCACUCUACCAGCACCCGUUGACGUCUCUUCUGACCGAGAGCCUCGGGUUCCUGUGCCAUUGCCAAAUGAAGUGGACAGCUCACUAGCAACGACAGCGAGAGGGCCCGUCAUCCAUCAGUCCUUCUCAUUACCUGGUCAGUGGGACCAUCACCGAAAAAGAAUCAUGGGAGAAAGGAACAUAGAGUUGAUAACUGACGCCACAUCGCAUGGAAAAUAAAUAAGCCCAUGUGAAAAGUCUUCAAGAUCUAGGGAGAGGGUUGAGCCAACAACUAUACGGGGAGAAGAACCCCCUCAACAUGUGAUUAGAGAAAGAGAUAAGGAUACAAUGGAGCAGAAUUUAUCUAUGCAUGAAGUGAUGAAGCAACAAAAAAAUGGGCAUGCCGGUGUAGGUCAACGCUUAAAAAAUAUUUUAUCUAUGCAUGAAGGGACACCGCAGCAAAAAACUGGAAGUGUAGGAACAAAUCACCAUUAUAAAAAUGAUUUUUUAGAGCCAUUAGAGCAGGCAACGGAUAUGAGGGAGCUGAGCUUAACUAUGCAUGAAGAGAUGCUGCAACAGAAAAAUGAUAAAGCAAAACCUUUAGCCCAAGCAAAGGAGAUGAGGCAAGAGAAGAAACAACAAAUGUCAAAAAGUGGGACGCGGGACCAAAAUAUAUCAGUGGAUACGAUAGAAGGGAGUGGAGAGUUCAGUCCAAUAGCAGGAGAAGGUGAAAGUCAAACACAACACCAAGCUGGACAUAUUCGAGUCGCUUUCAAUCUAGCCUUUUCAAGUGAAAGGCUGGAAGGAAAUGAAACUAAUCCGCCCACUUCAGAGUCUACCUCAGGUAAAUGUAGGUAUAAUAAAGAAAUAAGUGUCAUCCCUUCCCUCUCGGAUACCCACUUUUUGGAGAUGGAAGUGCAUCCAUUGGCGAAACACAGGAGACAUUCAGAUACUGCAGCAUCAAUUGGGAAAAUAAUCAGUCUGGCCUCAGAGGAAGCAGUGGAAAUGGGAGAAAAUGAUGGAAUCUCUAAUGAGGAUUCCAUCUCUGUAAGUUAUGCAACUAGAACCCGAUCAUGAUUAGUGCACUGGUGUGGAAUGUAAGGGGUAUUUCUAGUGCGGUAAUCCACAGAAGGAUCAAGAAAUUACAGUUACUGCAUAAAAUUAAAAUUUUAGUAAUAUUGGAGCCAAUGGUGGAUGCUUCAAAAGCAGAAUUUAUUCGCAGAAAAUUGGGUUUUGAAAGAGUCUUCAAGAACUGCUCCCAGAAGAUAUGGUUGUUUCAUUCUUUUGAUUUGAAUUGUGAAGUGUUGUUGGACCACGUUCAAUGUCUGCAUGUUAAACUCAACAUGCCAUGGUUGGAAGUCCCUCUGUUAGCAUCCUUCAUCUAUGCAAAAUGUACCAGGUCAGAGAAAUUAGUUCUUUGGGAUUGCUUGAGGAGCUUGGCAAUUAAUAUUCAUUCACCGUGGAUAGUUGGGGGUGAUUUCAAUGCCAUUUUACAUAGUGUGGAACGGUUGAACGGAGCUAUGCCACAUGCAGGUUCUAUGGAAGAUUUUGCUACUACUUUGCUUGAUUGUGGAUUAAUGGAUGGUGGCUAUGAAGGAAACUCAUUCACUUGGACUAAUAACCGUAUGUUUCAACGGUUGGACAGAAUGACUUAUAAUCAUCAUUGGGCAUACUUUUUUGCUUCUACACGUAUACAGCACCUGAAUAGGGACGGCUUAGACCAUUGUCCAUUGUUGAUUUCCUGCUCUAAGAACCAGGAUAGAAUGCCUUCAUCUUUUAGAUUCCUGCAUGCUUGGGUCCUCCACCAUGGUUUCAAAAAGUUCGUGGAACAGAAUUGGACUUCCUCCAUUGUUGGCUCUAGACUACAAGCUUUCUGGGUGAAGCAACGACGUCUAAAACAAGCUCUGAAAUGGUGGAAUAAGGAGGUUUUCGGAGACAUAUUCCAUAAUUUGAAGGUGGCAGAACAAAGAGCUGCAAAUUGCGAAAUAAUUUUUCAACAAGAGUAGUCAAUGGAGAAUCGAGCUACCAUGAAUAAAGCCUAUGCCCAGCUUAAUCAUCAGCUCAGUGUUGAAGAAUUAUUUUGGCAGCAAAAAUCCGGAAUUAAAUGGUUAGUGGAGGGUGAGCGUAACACCAAAUUUUUUCACAUGCGGGUUAAGAAGAAGAGAAUCAAAAGCCAUAUCUUCAAAAUAUAAAACCCGGAUGGGAGUUGGAUUGAAGAAUCAGAUGUUGUUAAGUCUUCUGCAGUGGAAUUUUUUUCCUCCCUCAUGAAAAAGGAACCAUGUGACAUGUCCAGAUUUGAUACUUCGUUGAUUCCUGCUAUUAUUUCUGAGAAUAACAAUCUUAGUUUAUGUGCAGUUCCUUCAAUGAAGGAGCUAAAAAAGGCAGUUUUCAAUAUUGAUAAGGACAGUGUUGCUGGCCCUGAUGGAUUCACCUCUUUUUUCUACCAACAAUGUUGGGAUAUCAUUGCCAAUGACCUCCUGUGUCAAACCCUGAUNGUGACAUCCUGGAUGCAGUAGUUGACUUCUUUCAUGGAGAUGACCUCCCAAGGGGAGUAACGUCUACAUCUAUUGUGUUGCUGCCCAAAACUAACAAUGCCUCGAAAUGGAGUGACUUCAGACCGAUAAGUCUUUGUAAUGUUUUAAAUAAAAUCAUUACUAAGAUUCUUGUUAACUGUCUUGCAAAGGUGCUCCCUUCCAUGAUUACAGAUUAUCAGAGUGGCUUCGUAGGGGGGAGACUGAUCAGCGACAAUAUCCUUCUUGCUUAAGAACUAAUUGGAAAGAUUGACCGGAAGUCAAGGGGGGGAAAUGUAGCUUUCAAGUUGGAUAUGAUGAAGGCGUAUGACCGGCUUGAAUGGGACUUCCUUUAUAGAAUGCUUCAACAGUUUGGAUUUAAUUCUCAGUGGAUUGGCAUGGUUCGCCGGUGCAUCGCUAAUUGUUGGUUUUCUUUACUGAUAAAUGGUGGUACUGUGGUCUUUUUCAAGUCUGAAAGAGGGCUACGACAAGGCGACUCCAUCUCUCCGUUAUUAUUUAUACUGGCUGCGAAAUAUUUGUCUCGGGGGUUGAAUGCUUUGUUUGCCACGUAUCAUUCUCUGCAUUAUCUUUCUGACUGCUCUAUGCCAGUCAGUCACUUAGCUUUCGCAAAUGAUAUCAUUAUUUUCACUAAUGGUGCGAAAUCCUCCUUGCAGAAAAUUCUAUUGUUCUUGCAGGAUUAUGAGGUGAUUUCAGGACAGCGAAUUAACCAUGCAAAGAGUUGCUUCAUCACUCACCAAAAUAUGGCAAACAAUCGCACCCAGAUCAUUUCUCAAGUCACUGGUUUCAUUCAUAAAUGCCUACCUAUCACCUAUUUGGGGGUGCCUCUUUAUAAAGGGCCAAAAAAGGUAAUGCUCUUUGAUGACUUGGUUGCAAAGAUCCAGGACCGUAUAGCAGGAUGGGACAACAAAGUAUUAUCUCCAGGAGGGUGAAUAACACUAUUACGUAGUGUAUUAUCUUCUCUACCUAUUUAUUGCUCCAGGUCCUCAAACCUCCUAUUUGUGUGAUUGAAAGAAUUGACAGAUUAUUCAACAACUUUUUGUGGGGAGGUUCGGCAGGUUCUAGAAAAAUUCAUUGGGCUUCGUGGCAUAAAAUCACUCUUCCAUCUAAUGAGGGACGACUUGACAUCAGAGGCCUAGGUGAUGUGUUGCAGGCCUUUAGCAUGAAACUUUGGUGGAGGCUUUUAACUUGUAAUAGCAUUUGGACGCAAUUCAUGCGGAGCAAAUAUUGUGUUGGUCAAAUUCCAAGGAAUGUACAACCGAAGCUCCAAGAUUCACAGACAUGGAAACGGAUGUUAGCUAGCUGCCCGGUUACAGAGCAAUACAUUAGAUGGUGGAUUGGUAAGGGUGAGUUCUUUUUCUGGCAUGACUGUUGGAUGGGUGAAGCACCAUUGGUUAAUCGAUUUACAUCCUUUGCAUCAUCUAUGACAAGAGUACACUAUUUCUAUGAUAAUGGCAAAUGGGAUGUGGGCAAGUUGAACGAUGUGUUGCCGGAGGAUGUUGUGGCAGAGAUCUUAAAAAUUCCGAUCGAUCUACCCAGUGAUGAUAGAGCAUAUUGGGUUCCUACCUCGGAUAGCCAAUUCACUACUAAGUCUGCUUAGGAGAUAGUUCGACAGCGACAGUCAGUAAAUCCUAUUUUCAAUUUAAUUUGGCAUAAAUGCAUUCCUCUUUCAACUUCUUUUUUUCUAUGGAGGUUAUUACAGGAUUGGAUCCUAGUUGAUUCGCGGUUGAAAAACAAGGGUUUCCAGUUAGCUUCUAAAUGCCAACACUAUAACUCCGAGGAGUCUCUCUUGCAUGUCAUGUGGGAAUGCCCUAUAGCUACACAGGUUUGGAACUAUUUUGUGAAAUUUUUCCAAAUCAACAUUGUUCGUCCUCAUACUGUUUUUCAAAUCAUAUGGGCAUGGUGGUACUCUGGUGAUUAUACCAAAAGAGGACACAUACGCUUGUUAAUGCCUCUAUUCAUUUUUUGGUUCUUAUGGGUUGAAAGGAAUGAUGCGAAGCAUAGGAACUUGGGUAUGUAUCCUAAUAGAGUGGUAUGGAAAGUACUCAAACUCAUCCACCAACUUUUUCAUGGGAGGCAAUUCCACCGGUGGUAGUGGAGGGGAGAUGUAUAGAUUGCCCAGGCAUGGGGUAUAAUAUUUCAGCAGGCAGUCCUACAUCAUCCAAAAAUAUUCUCUUGGCAUAAACCAUCAGCAGGUGAGUUUAAGUUGAAUGUUGAUGGUAGUUCCAAGCAUAAUCGUCAGAAUGCCGCGGGAGGAGGACUUCUUCGAGACCAUACAAGUACCAUGAUUUUUGGAUUUUCUGAAAAUUUUGGACCUUGUGAUUCAUUACAGGCAGAGUUAAUGGCACUUCAGAGGGGUUUACUUUUGUGCAUUGAGCAUAAUGUUUCUAGACUUUGGAUGGAAAUGGAUGCAAAAGUAGUGGUACACAUGAUAAAUGAGGGCCAUCAGGGAUCCUCUAGAACUUGGUAUUUACUUGCUUCAAUCCGUAAAGUCCUGAGAGGUAUUUCGAUUCGGAUUUCGCACAUUCAUAGAGAAGGGAACCAGGCAGCAGAUCAUCUGGCAAAUCAAGGGCACAAACACCAGAUCCUACAGGUAUUUUCACAAGUAGAAGGUCAGCUUAAAGGUAUUCUUAGGUUAGAUAAGGUUAAUUUACCAUAUGUUAGAUUUAAAGGAUUGUAAAGGAGUAGUACUCCUAAUUUAUUUUCUGUACUUUGUUAUUAACAUAGACUUUUGUAAUAUGGAUGUGUUUCAAUUUUAUGACGAUAGUAAAAUAUAUGGUCAUAAAAUGAAACACUCCAUCAUAGGUGCUUAUCUCAUUUACAUUAUCUGCUUCAAAUUUUCUCGUAGUAUGGUGUCUCAAUAUACUAGUAGGGAAUAUCUAUUUUAUUGUAGCAUCAAUAGUUAUGCACAUAAAAUGGAUUUCCUUAUUCUAGGAGUUCUUCAAAUACUUUCUUAUGAUCUUGUAACUUGGAGGUACGGUUUAUGUCCCCCUCAUUUGUACUUCUUAUUUCAUACUUAAUAAAAUUUAACAGGGUAGCUGGGCCCUGCGUGAAUUUCCAGCAUAAAAAAAAAAAACUCCCACCUUAAUCGAUCAUAAGCCUUUUCAAGAUUUAUUUUGAUCAUCAUCCAUCCUAAUUUUUUUUGUUUUCUUCUAAAAGAGUGUAAAGUUUCCUGAGCAAUAAUUAUUUUAUCUGUGAUAUAUCUCUCAAAAAUGAAAUUGGAUUGGGCUUCAUCAUUAAAGAGACUUAUAUAUGGCUUCAAACGAUUGGUGAUGACUUUCAUCAGUAUUUUGUAUACUUGUCACGACCCGGAACUCCCAUUGAGCCCGUGACAACCGCCGCGAAGCCUCAACAGACAUUCUUCCCCCGAAUGCCUUUCAAGACCUCGCAAGGCUUUUGUACCAGUUUUUUCAUUCCUCUCUCUUUUUCUUUUUUUUUUGAAUAAUAAAAUAAAAUAAAAAUAUUUAAUUAAAAUAAUCUAUUUUAAUGUAAAAUAAUANNNNNNNNNNNNNNNNNNNNNNNNNNNNNNNNNNNNNNNNNNNNNNNNNNNNNNNNNNNNNNNNNNNNNNNNNNNNNNNNNNNNNNNNNNNNNNNNNNNNNNNNNNNNNNNNNNNNNNNNNNNNNNNNNNNNNNNNNNNNNNNNNNNNNNNNNNNNNNNNNNNNNNNNNNNNNNNNNNNNNNNNNNNNNNNNNNNNNNNNNNNNNNNNNNNNNNNNNNNNNNNNNNNNNNNNNNNNNNNNNNNNNNNNNNNNNNNNNNNNNNNNNNNNNNNNNNNNNNNNNNNNNNNNNNNNNNNNNNNNNNNNNNNNNNNNNNNNNNNNNNNNNNNNNNNNNNNNNNNNNNNNNNNNNNNNNNNNNNNNNNNNNNNNNNNNNNNNNNNNNNNNNNNNNNNNNNNNNNNNNNNNNNNNNNNNNNNNNNNNNNNNNNNNNNNNNNNNNNNNNNNNNNNNNNNNNNNNNNNNNNNNNNNNNNNNNNNNNNNNNNNNNNNNNNNNNNNNNNNNNNNNNNNNNNNNNNNNNNNNNNNNNNNNNNNNNNNNNNNNNNNNNNNNNNNNNNNNNNNNNNNNNNNNNNNNNNNNNNNNNNNNNNNNNNNNNNNNNNNNNNNNNNNNNNNNNNNNNNNNNNNNNNNNNNNNNNNNNNNNNNNNNNNNNNNNNNNNNNNNNNNNNNNNNNNNNNNNNNNNNNNNNNNNNNNNNNNNNNNNNNNNNNNNNNNNNNNNNNNNNNNNNNNNNNNNNNNNNNNNNNNNNNNNNNNNNNNNNNNNNNNNNNNNNNNNNNNNNNNNNNNNNNNNNNNNNNNNNNNNNNNNNNNNNNNNNNNNNNNNNNNNNNNNNNNNNNNNNNNNNNNNNNNNNNNNNNNNNNNNNNNNNNNNNNNNNNNNNNNNNNNNNNNNNNNNNNNNNNNNNNNNNNNNNNNNNNNNNNNNNNNNNNNNNNNNNNNNNNNNNNNNNNNNNNNNNNNNNNNNNNNNNNNNNNNNNNNNNNNNNNNNNNNNNNNNNNNNNNNNNNNNNNNNNNNNNNNNNNNNNNNNNNNNNNNNNNNNNNNNNNNNNNNNNNNNNNNNNNNNNNNNNNNNNNNNNNNNNNNNNNNNNNNNNNNNNNNNNNNNNNNNNNNNNNNNNNNNNNNNNNNNNNNNNNNNNNNNNNNNNNNNNNNNNNNNNNNNNNNNNNNNNNNNNNNNNNNNNNNNNNNNNNNNNNNNNNNNNNNNNNNNNNNNNNNNNNNNNNNNNNNNNNNNNNNNNNNNNNNNNNNNNNNNNNNNNNNNNNNNNNNNNNNNNNNNNNNNNNNNNNNNNNNNNNNNNNNNNNNNNNNNNNNNNNNNNNNNNNNNNNNNNNNNNNNNNNNNNNNNNNNNNNNNNNNNNNNNNNNNNNNNNNNNNNNNNNNNNNNNNNNNNNNNNNNNNNNNNNNNNNNNNNNNNNNNNNNNNNNNNNNNNNNNNNNNNNNNNNNNNNNNNNNNNNNNNNNNNNNNNNNNNNNNNNNNNNNNNNNNNNNNNNNNNNNNNNNNNNNNNNNNNNNNNNNNNNNNNNNNNNNNNNNNNNNNNNNNNNNNNNNNNNNNNNNNNNNNNNNNNNNNNNNNNNNNNNNNNNNNNNNNNNNNNNNAAAUGAUAAAUCUUAAGCUAAGCUUGAAAAAUCAUACCUUUAAACACUUGAUUCCUUGAAAAAUCACACUUUUUCUUUGAAUUUUCUCACUCUAGGGUUUGUUCUUAUUUCUCUCUCUCCUGCUGGUUUUGGCUGACCCUCCCAAUGAAGAAUUCUGGAAUUUUCAAGACUUUUAAUAGGCUUAAUAAAAUAUUAAUAUUUUAUUUACCUUUUAAAUAUUUAUUAUUUUAUUUUUUUCUAGCCAUCUUUUUGACUUUCUUUUUCUACCACUCAAUCCUCUUCACUUAUCCAUGUCUUUCAUGAAAUUUCUAGAAUUUUUCAAAGUUUUGGUGGAGUAAAUUUUUAAAAAUUACACUUUUGCCCCCGUAAAGUGAAAAAUUACAUUUUUGCCCCAAAAACUGAAAAAUUGCCCAUAGACAUAUUUUUCAUCCCUUAUACUCAUCCCGUUCUCCAAUUUGUAAAAUGUGAUCUAAAUUCUCUCAAAAUCUCAAAUUUUGUCCGCGAGUGGAAAAAUUAUGAUUUUGCCCAUAGAUAGUGAAAAUUUCGGUUUGACUCCGAAUUGAUCCUCGAACUCCGAAUUACCAUUUUGAGUCAUCCCUGAACUGUGAAACUCUUAAUUUUACCUUAAAAUUCCUAUUUGAACUAGUUCGAGGCUUAAUCGACUCAAUGGUAUCAUUAGGGGUAAUAUCGUCUUUCAACGAUUUCUCGAACUUCCUAAAUAUACAAACAUUCUAUCGAGCAUGUGAAUGACAUUAUAAUUAUUUUACAAAGCAGGCUUUGACAAUACUACAAGCAAAAAUUCAUUGGCCUAAAUUGUGAGAUAAAUUUUAGAGAUUUUGAUUUGGGGAUCAGUGUAAUGAGAGACUUACAAAGUUCAUUAUUUAUCUCUACCCGUGCAAAAAUUGCUCAGACAUAGUUGAUAAUAUCACUACCAACUGUGUUCCAUUAUGACUGAAAAAACAUCACUAGGAAACCAUCAACUCCUAGUGCUUUGAGAGGUUUCAUUUCGAAUACCAAGCAAACUUUUGAGUCUUCCAUAGGUUUCUGUAAGGAUUCCACAGCUAAACUAUCAAGUACUAGAAAUUGUCCCCGUAGAGGAUACAAAGGGAGAAGUCAGUCCUCUUUAGAAUAUAGUUUUUUGAAAAAUUCCACCACUUGAGAUCUAAGCACUGUUUGAUUCUCACAUUAUUGUCCAUCUAAAGAAUGAAGAUGAAUAAUUUUAGUCUUAUAUUUUCUAGGCAUCAUUUUAAGAUGGAAAUAUUACGUGUUGCGAUCACCCUGUUUCAACUAGUUAGCUUUCGAUUUCUGAAGCCAAAACAUCUCUUUUUGAUGUAACAUGUAACGAUCGCUCCUCGAUCGCUAUCGGUGUCCUAGACCUUCGGGAGAACCUGUUAAGUCUUGAACAAGCUGUGAGACCUCAACCCUUAUAGGCUCAUAACUACGCAUAGACAUAAUAACACGGGCUAGGGGUAGUUUCAUCAUUUCCUCUAAACAGCUCCCAGAAUAAGGUUUUAUGAUAUUUUAAGGUCUAAAUAAGCAUAAGAUCGAAUAAAUAAUGUGUAAUGAUGAAAACACGAAGAAAACUAGAAGUUUCGAUAAUUUUCACAACAGGGGCAAAAUGGUCAUUUUGCAUCUUGAGUCAAAAUUUUAAGUUUUCGUAAACCCUAGUAGUUUAGGUCAUUGUGGACCUUGUCCCAGUGUCAAAAGAAUAAAAAAAAUUGCACAAGGGAUUAGAGAAGAACAAGUUAACUUGCUAAAAGGCAUUUUUGUAAUUUCAAGGGGAGUUGGAUAAGUAUGAGCUAUAAAUAUCUUUCUUCCAAUAGCUUCCUCAUUCUCCAGCAGGUUUUCUUCUUCUUCUUCUUCCUUCUUCCCUCUCACAUUUCUUCAUCCUCCAUGGGAGUCCUCUUCAAGCUUCCAUAACUUUCUCUCUCUAGCUCCAAUUUUCAUGCCUUGGUGCACCUUUUCAUGAAAUCCUUGUGCUCUUUCACUCUCUCACUUUAAAACCCUUGAAAAUCUCACUUUCAUACUUUCUCUCACUAGUUAGGUGUUUAGAGAGAGAAAGCUCCCAUAAUAGCUUUGAAAAUUUAUUGGAAAGAAUUUCAAAGUUUCAAGCUACCAAAGUGAGUAGGGGGUGUCAAUUUUAAAAAUUUUCAUAAAUAUAUACCUAUAAGUAUGAUUUAUUUUAAUUACGAAAAUUAUGGAUAGCAUGUGCUGGUAGAUAUUUUAGGGAAUUGUGAAUGUUUGUAGUUGAGGUUAUCCACUCAUUUUAGAGUGAUUAGGGUAGUGAAAAUAAAUAGUCAUUUAAAUGGCAAUUGAAAGCUAGCUAAGAGAAAACUUUAGACUUUAUAAGUAUGUGAAUUGACAAAUUGGUGAUGCUAAUGUGAUGAUAGGUUCCAACGAAGCCCCAUCAUCCCAUUUGGACAAAUAGGGAAGUUAGAAUCGACUAAAGGCUCAAAUAAUACCGGUGAGUGGACUUACAUUUCAAAAUUUGUUUUGGGAAUGUGAAUGUAAUUGUCCAAACAUUUAAAAGAUUUUAUCUAGCUUUUCUUUAAAAAUGUACCUUGGGAACAAGCCUUUGGUGAAAUUUUUUUAUCUUGUGAAAAUGUGCUAUAUAAAUGGUUUAUGUGUUAUCACAAUAUGAUGAUAUGUACAAUAUGCAUUGGGUGUUUCUUUCGUAUGUUGAUGUGGACCCGGCUAUGUGCGAGUAGGAGUGUGCAUACUCCGAUGAUGACCCGGCUAUGUACGAGUAGGACUGUGCAUAAGUCGAUGAUGACCCGGCUAUGUGUGAGUAGGAGUACGCAUAAGUCGAUGCUGACCUAGCCAUGUGCUAGUGGGGAGUGCACAUGAGCUGAUGACGAUGGGAGAGUAUGCAUGAUGAUGGAUAUAUAUAUAUAUAUACAUAUAUAGAUAUGUGUGUCAUGGAAAGUUCAUGAAUAUGUAUAUGGUUGAAAUGCAUGUGAAAUUUGACAUGUUAAGCUUUGGGAAUUUAUAUGUGUUUCAUGUUGCAUUUGUCAUGUGAACAGGGUGGCCUUUUCUUGAGGAAAUAGGGAAUUUUUGCUGGUGCCCUGUUUCUCGCUGUAGCGAGAUUCAUUCUCGCUACAGAGAGAAACUCUCAUGUUUUUGAGGGUUUCACUAGACAUGGUUCUUGUUACAAAGAGAAAGUUUGUGUUUUAUGGCUUGAAUCUUGCUACAGCGAAAACUUUUUGUUUCAUUUAGUAUCUUGAUCGAUUGCUGCGUUAUUUUCCACUUCUUGGUCUAUAGUUGAGCAUGGACUUCCAACAUUAAGGAAUAAACAAAUUAAGUUUAAAAUGAGGGGUUUGGUGAGAAACCCUCGGCCAACUAAGAAACCCUCGGCCAAUUAAUAAUUUAAGUCAAAUGUUGUUGUAGCGAGAAUGCCUUUCCACUGCAGCGAGGACCCGUCGUCUACUUGACUUGAAUUGCAUGAAAGUUAUUAAAGUUUUCAUUCUUCAAAUCUUUUGCUGAGCAUGGACCCGUUACAUUAAGUGAUUUAAUCAAUUGGGGUUUUCCUGAGGGGUUUUGAUAAGCACUAAAUUAAAUUGCAUUGUUUUAAAAUAAGUGCAUCAUGAUUUUUAAAUUCUUCCUUACUGUUACUUGUUCCCUUCCUUAUUCACUCACUGGGUUUAUACUCACCAUUUUCAACUUCAUGUUUUCAGAUCACGAGGUAGCUAGUAACUAGGUCAAAGUGUCUUCGUAUGUUCGACCCUUGGAAGGUGUCUCGACAUUCAGUAGCUGCACAUUCAUCUGAGUCUCUCCGCUGGAAGUCGAGUACUCUUUUGUUGUGUAUAAACAGACCUAAUGUAAAUUAUUAAGACAUAUGUUUAUACAACACAUGUAUAUUAGUUGGUAAUGCCAUUAUAAGUUGGCAAUGAAUCGCAUUAACUGGAUUCUAAAUUAUGAAAUGUGACUUUAGUAAUUUGAUGGAAUAAUGAGUAGGAUAAUAUAGCUAGGCUUGCUUGGCCUUAGUGGGUUAUGUCCAUUGAGCCCUCGCGCCGAUCAUGGCCUGGGAAUUGGGUUGUGACACAAGCCUUAUUAAAAAUUCCCGUUAAUUCACUACACUCGUUCACCAAUCAUGUUAAUGCUUUAAACCAUAUACUCUCGUGACAUGAUUUGAACAAUAGGCAUAAUAAAUCAAUUUGACCUUUAAUCCAUAUGAUCAUAUGUCAAUACAUCAUAGUCUAAAAUCUCCAAUUGAAUAUUUAUAUUGAGACUAGUAUUCAUUUACAAAAGAAAAACAAAGUAUAAUGACUCGACCUCUAGCAGUGGAGCGACUCAGAAUAAGAUGCUAUGAAAUGCCUUUACCUAUCUACGAUGGACAAUGAUUGUCGAUGAAUGCACGCUAGGCCGAUCACUAUCUGCAAAAGGAAAAUAAGGGGGUGAGACUCACAGACUCAAUGAUCAUCGGCUCCGUGAGUAGGGCGUAGAUGGCAAACAAGCUACGGAUAGGAAAUUUGAAUAUUAAAAAUAUAAGAAUAUAUGUAAAUGAAUUAGUUGAAAAGGGUAAUUUGUGCUUUACACUUAAAACCAGAAAUUUUAAUACAAGAUAAUUGUUUAAAUCAAGUAUCAAACCAAUUCAUGUAAAGAUCUCUGUCGUCAAAAUCAUUUAACAACUUACUUAAAGCGAAUCAGUAUAGUCACUCAUGCUCCUGUAAAAUCCAACAUUAACAAAGCUUAUAUGCGAAUUCGUAAAUCACCUCGUAUGAGAGGAGUUAAAUCCAAUGUCAUCGUAUAAGUAGGAGAGCUGCAGAAAAACCGUUAUUUCUCACCAUGUGAAAACUACGUACAUGAAAACCCCAAAGAGAUAUCACUCUCGAGUAGGUAAUAGUAAUCGUUCGUGGACCCACUUCCAUGUAAUAAAAAUCCAGGAGCACCGUUCCACCAGAUUCCCACAGCCAUUGCAGUCUCGACGAUGUUGGCCGACAUUGGAGAAAUCAAGCAGUCGCUACUGCGUAUAUCACUUAUGGCCUAGCCACAUAUACAUAUCACAGACCAUGGCCCCAGCCACAUCUAACAGCCCGUUGGUGACCCAAAGGUUCCUAGCUAAAGCUCACUUGUGCACAAGGGUCACACUUUUUCGAUGUGACAUCCGGCCUACUCUCGAAUCUCCCAGUUUGGUAAAACCAUUUAAAAGAAAAUUGGGUUCUCAAAAGCUCAUUUCAAAUCCAUUUCAAAAGUACCAAUCAUGGUAACAUGGUAAAACCUCUUUUUGUAAGACUUUGCAAUUUAAAACCUUUGCAUGAAUUGUAAAUAUCAAGUCAACAUGGUGAAUAUAUAAUUUGUUCAUGAAUGCACAUCACAAAAAUCAAUAAGGCACACUUUGAUACAAAUCGUANUAUAUAUAUAUAUAUAUAUAUAUAUAUAUAUAUAUAUAUAUAUAUAUAUAUGUAGCCUAAACGAUUUCAAACAUUAUUGCAUCCACAAUCGCCUAGCAUUUCUACUAGCUUAUGCUUCCCACAAUAACAGUUUAUAACUCUCUCCAAACCAAGUAUACAAAUCACUUAUUAAUUUUUAACAACACAUGCUUUCCACAAUGGCAUGAAAUAAAUCAUUGAUAAAUUAUUUUACGUAUAAUAUUGAAUCUUUUGAAAUAGACACCCUCUACUCACCUCAAAAUGGCCGAGUAUUACUUCGCCACUCUUCGGUUACCUUUCCUCCUUUAGUUCAUCGCCACGGUAAUCCUUUUCCACUUGCACACUUCCUAGCAAUAAACCAAGCUUAAUGUACUUAGUGGUUAUCAUUCCCAUUUUUCUUCUUUUUCAUUCAAACAUUAACCAUCAUGUUAAUAACUCAAAUCAUGCUAGAAUCACCAUUCUUUCCCACUUAAUCUUUGCAUAUUCAUAUGCAUUUGACAUAUUCUUACUAAAGGAAUUCAUAUCUUUUACUUACGUAAUUCUUUGUAUUAUAUAUACCGACAACUUAUUUACGACAUUAAGUGUCCAUUUCAACCUUUUCAAGCAACUUUCAUCCGAAUUCAUCUUAUAUUUUUACAACAUAAACCACAUAUAUGGCAGCAACAAUCAAUCCCAUUUUACUCAAUUAUUUGCAAGUUUACAUGCAUCAUUAUCUAUCUAACUUUCAAUGCUUUAUUUCUCAAUCCACCAUUCACAUUAUUCCUCCUUAUUCUUUCAAAUAACAUACCAAGCAAACUCAAUAUUCCUAACUAGCUUACGCAUGUUAGAUUCUUUCAACAACCCUAUUCACUUUUAACAUGCUGCCACUAAGCAUAACAUCGAUUUCCAUUCAUGUUAUAUCAACAUUCUCAACAUUUUAUAUCUUUCACAACAACACAUAUCCACGAAUUUCAUUUUUUUUCAAGCUUUCAACUAGCAUAAUUGUUUCCUAACCAUACUUAGAGCAUCACACCAUCAUUUUACAGUGCAUGCCUUACCUUUGUGAUGGAUUAGGCCUUGCAUGCAACCUCAAUAUCCUCCCAAUGCUCCAAUCACCAAGCUGCCAACAUGAUUUACAAGUUAUUUCUUCAAAGAUCUUACCAACCGUGGCUUAAAACACAAUAUUAUGCUUACCACUUCUCUUUUACUUUGAAUCCACCAUGCAUCUACAAUUUUUGGUAGCUUGCAUGUCACCAAAGCUUCUCCAAUCAAGCCAAUCUUUGUUACCACAAAACACUUCUUACAUUCAUCAACCCAUUUUCAAAGAUUAAUCAAGCUAAAACCACAAUCCUUACUUUUCCUUGCUUGAAUCACAAAACCAAGCUUUACACCUCCAUCCACACUCCAUGUCUCUCUUGAAUAUUGAAGACUCCUUGGUUGAUAGAAUAGCACAAAGCUACAAGAUGAGAGAGGAAACCUCAUGGUUUCUCUUGAUCUUGUGCAAAACUAAGCCUUUCCCUCAUUUCUCACUUUUCUUUCUCUUUUUCUUCCUCUCGGGUGGAACCUCUCAAAACUUUCUUUCCUCUCUUUUCUUCUUUAAAUGGCCAGCCUUCUCUCAACUUCUCAAUGGUAGUUCACUUUUCUCUCUUUUACUCUCCCAAGGCACGAUUUUUGCCUAAGUUUUUAAGAUAUUUUCCUUUUCUUUUCUCUUUCUUUUACUUAUUGACUUGGCCACCCUCAUGAACCAAUCACAAUACAUGCAUUCUUAUUCUUCUUAUUUCAUUUGGCCAUCUUGCCAACCAAUGGGUUUUCAUGCACCAAUUUCCUUUUUUCCACAUUGAUUAAAUAUCCACUUUUCAUUAUCCUUCCAUUCUUCAAUUCAUUUUCAUUUAAUCCCACCUUAUUUGUACCCAAUGGUCUUUCAUGCAUUCUCCCAUCUUAUUCCUCAUUUGGCCACCUAAUGCACCAAUCUCCUUACAUGUAAUUAGAUUUGAGCUUAUUUUUCUUUUUACUUCACAUGGUGGGUCCCACGUGUUCCCCACUACAAAUAUAAUCUUGCAUGCAUAUCUUUGCAUGUAAUAGUAUUUGUUACAUGCAUAUUCCAUCCUCCCACACAAUCUAAUUUUCCUUGAUUAGUUAACCUCCAUUUAGCUUCAAAUAUUGUAAUUGCACAUAAGUCCUCAACUUUUCCUUAUUUACCAUUUGUCCCUCUAAACUUUUCAUUCUUGCAAUUUGGUCCUCCAAUCAUUUCUUUUAAAUUCCAAUUUCCUUUUAUCUUUCUUCCUUUACCCUUAUACAAACAAAAUAUCAAAUUUACACUUCGCCAAAAUGUUAUCAUAAUAUUUAAAUAUAUACUUACCCAUUCUUACUUUAUUAAAUAAAAGCACGCGGGCUCACUUAUGUCGUUUUUCUUUGAAAUUCUUUCUUACUUCUUCUCCCCCACUUAGAUUAGUCAUAUCAUCCUCCUUUAUGACUAAUUUCGACAAUAAAUAAAAUAUUAAUAUUUUAAUAUUAUUGUAUUAAUAAAAUAUUAUUUUAUUCUCAAAAUAUUAAUAUCCUCAACACCCAAAAUGUCUCACUUAGUCCUAGUUCACCUCCAAAUCACCUUUUAACUCGUUAUUUCAUCCUUUAUAAAAAUAUUAUUAUUUAAUUAUUAUUUCAUUAUUAUUUCUUCAUUAUGGAAUAUUUUAUUCUAAAUAUUUCUUGCACCCAUCACUGGUCUUUGGCACUUAAAUUUACGUCAAUUGACCUUUCUUGUUCUCAAUAAAGUCUCAUUAACUUCUACACGAAGGUACGGGGUGUUACAUAACACAGUUUCAUAUUCCGAACGUAAAGCAAAUUCAAGAUUCCUUAGUUGUUGAGAAGGGUUAGUUUCUAGGGCUUUUUCACUGCCACCAAUCUUUGCUAAGAGUUCUUUUUUUGUAAAAAAAUUCUCAAAGACUGUUUUAUUCCAUUGUCGAGCUUUGACUGCAAAGUUAGAUAAGGCUGCUUGAAUCUUUUUAGUGUUGUUUGAUAAUUGCCGAACAAAUUGAGAGAAUUCUCCAUGCCACAACCAAGCAGCUUUAAAUAAAAAUCUGUUACUAUCCUGGGUCACCCUCAUAGUAUGAAAAUCCACCAUAAUUGGUCUAUGAUUCAAUCCAAUUCUUGGUAAGUGUUGAAUCAAUCCUUCAUGGAAUUUUAACCUCCAACUAGUAUUAUAGGCUGCCUUAUCCAACCUUUUAGAGACUAAUCCACAUUUCCAACUGAAUUUUGGCCCAUGAAAUCUUAAGUCCAUGAUAUCAAAAGUAUUCAUAAACUGUUGAAGCAAUGGGCAUGGUUGACUUUUUCUAUUAGCUUUCGUCAUUUUUUCAUAUAAAAUAAGAAAGAAUUAAAGUCACCAGCCUAUAUCCAUGGAUGAGAAACUGUGUUAGCAAAGUAUGAUAAUUCCUCUCAAAGUAAGCAUCUAAUAGUAGCAUUUGGAUGGCCAUAUAUUACUUUAAAGUACCAAGAUACUCCCAUUGGGUAUUCAAUAGAAAGAUGGAUGCAUUGGGCAUGGUUUCAAAUGAUUAAAAGGCAAAGCUCAUCCUUCCACAUGACCCAAAUCCCCCUUGAAAAGCUCUCAACUUCAAUUCAAUGAGAUCUAUCAAAGCCCAACUUACUAAUAACUCUAUCUACAGCUUCACCACUUAUUCGAGGCUUAACUAAAGCUAUUAUCUUUAAUCUGAAUUGUUUAACAAAAUCAUGUAUAAUGCUAACCAAACUAUCAUCUCCAACACCCUGACAAUUCCAAACCAAGAUACAUAAAUCCAUAAAAAAAUGAUACAAGAUAGUGUGACUUACAUGUCAUUAUGAGGAUCAUCAAUUGCCAUAGUUGCAUCUGUUUCAACCAAUUCAGUUCAACUAGGUUCUCUUGUAAUUGCAAACUUAUUCAUACUUACAUUAGUUUGUGUAGAUUCAACAACCAGAACAUUCGAAGCAUAAGUUUUAUGCUCUACUGCAUUUUUCCCUUUUGCCUUUUUCUUAAGUAAAAUUGUGUUCAUCUUAACCACUUCUUUUCUAUCUGGGUGUUUUUCUUUCUUGGUAUGCAAAGCAAUGCCUUUUCUACGUUGUAAUGAUACACUAUUCUACAAAGAAACAUUAGGAAAGGAUGGUUUCACAAUGGAAUGUUUCGAAGGAUCUAGACUUGUUCUUUAGGGAAUGAUUCUCGUUUCUUGGUGUUGUUACGCUGUCUCCCUCAUAGAUUCAUCAUUAUUGUCUUCCAUAUUCAACUGUUGGGAGGUACCUAUCUUUGUUAAAUUGAUAGCCAUAUCCAUAUUACCCCAUUGCUCUUUUUUCAUUUUAGUACUUUCUUCAUUAAUGCCUUGAUUCUUCUUUGGUGAAGUAAUAGUAUGAAUUGGAGUAGCACUUGUUGAAUGUUCUACCAAAACAUGGUUCCUUUUAGUUAUGGAUAGUUAACUGGGCUUUUGAAUCUAAUCAUAAGAAACAUUAUUUAUUAAAAAAACCUACUAAUAAUAUUUUGACUCUGUUUUUCACCUUUUUCCAAAGACUGAUUUUUGGACCCCAAGUUCACAUCUUCAAUUUCCCUGAGGAUCAAAACUUUAGAGCCUUGAUUUAAUUGUUUGCUCUCAUUCAUAUUUUUUACCAGAGUUUGUCACAUUGCUCCACUUCUAGGUUUUCGACGACUAACUAGCAUCCAAGGACCACAAGGUGAAGGUUCCUAGAAGGUCUGUUCUAUGGUUUCCUCACUAUUUUCUAUCAGGUUUUGUUCAAUCACCUUUUUAGGACAAACUUCUUUUGCAAGCCCAUAAACUCCACAGUUAAGUAAACCCUUGGUAAUCCUUCAUAGUCAAUCUUCUGUAUUUUUCCAUUAAGCAAACACUUAGGAAGUAGUGGCUUUGAAAGAUCCAGUUCAACCGCAAUGCGAGCAAAUUUCCCUUUUUUUUCAGAUCCUGUGUUAUAAUCAAUCUUCAAAAACUUACUUAGUAAGGAUGCAAUCUAUCUCAAUACAAAUUUGUGAUACAUAUGUAAUGGCAUUUUUAGGAAAUGAACCCAAGCUGCCACGUCCAAUAAAUCAGAAGGCUCUUUAUGAAAGGAUAGAGACUAAGGUCUCACCAUCAAAUAAUGACUCUGGAUCAUCCAUGGGCCAUCUAAAAGUGCUUUGAGAUAAUCCUCAUCUGUUGAGAAUCUAACUAGGUAAUUCUCAUCAUCUAAAUCAACCACACUAAGCUUACCUUUAAGGGACCAUUAGGCUACUAUUUUAUCAAAAAGCAAUUUAUAAGGUAGAGUUCAUCCUAGCAAUUGCACUACGAUUAAGCGUUGCCAUCUCUUCGCUAAAACAACCUUUUUCUUAUCAAAAACCCUAAUAGAUGGAAUCCCUUCAACAAUUUCAAAGUGGAAAUCAUUGUUAUUUGUUUCAUCAAACUCAGUUGAAUCACUUUCACUUUUUCCACUAUUAUCAUUAUUUUUCAUAUCCUGUUCCUCCAAUUCCAUGUUAUCAUCAUAAAAUGGACUUUUUUCUCCAUAUGACAUUAACACUUCUUUGAACAAUGGAUUUUGAUAAAUCAUCAUCGAAUUACUUUCUAAAUCCUCCAUUUGUAGUCUAACUCUUUUAUGAGAAUAAUCGUCAAGACUUAUCGUGGGGAGUUUUUAGAAAGAAAACCCUUCGCCAUAAGAUUUUAAAUAUUUGAUUAUCAAAUAAUCAAUCAAAAGAUAAUAACUAACUAAAAAAAGCAAUAAGGCAACCAACAUUACACUAAAACAAUCAAUUAUGAUCUAAUGAUAAGUGACAAAAGAAUAUCUUUGUAAUUUUUUAUGAAAUCCCACCUUGAGUAUGUGGAUAAGUUAGAAAAUCCCAAGGUGAGCACAUAAAUUACAUGUUUUGACUAUCAAACUUAGCUUUGAACUUCAAAAGAAUGCAUUGACACUUUUAGUUAUCUGUCACUAUUGAAGCAGAAAAUUUUCUAAAUCUUGAAGGAGUCAAAAUAUGUGAUUUUUAUAGAAUAAUCUUUUAGAAAUAACAAAUGAUUAUAAUGAUUCUCUUGAUUUUUAGAUGAUCAAAAAUGAUUUUUUCAUAAUUUUUGGAUACGUUUGCUAUGCCAAAUGGGAGUCGUAAAUUUAAUUUCAAUCAAUUUUUUCGAUUUUGUUCUUGAAACCAAAAUUUAGAUUUUUUUUUUGUAUUUUGAUUUUUUUGAUAUUUUUAUUGAAACCAAAUGGGGGGUUAUUUGUUUAUUUACAUUAAAUAUCUUAAGCAUAUAGAGAGUAAAAUAGUAAAGAGGACAUUUACUUAAAUGGUAUUUAAUGCAAACAAGCUGGGCGGGUUUUAUAGGCAAUCUAUCAUAGAAACUACAUUGUCUCUUAAAUGUAUCGAUACAUGCCAUGAUACAUCAAUACAUUUAGUCUAGAAAGUGUUUCUAAUGAACAUGUAUCGAUACAUGCUCAUAAUGUAUUGAUAUAUUUUCUCCAAAACCAAAUGUAUCGAUACAUGGGCGAAUGUAUUGAUAUAUUUCAUCGAUUUUUGAAAAAAAAAUAAAGGGGGUAAAAGGGUGUUUUCACACCCUAUAGUAUAAAUAUGACUCCUACUACGAGGGUUUUUCAUUUUAAGUUGCCUCCCAUCAAUGUUUCAACAACUCUAGGCUCUUUCAAACCCAUUUUCACCACCUCAAACAAAGGUGACAUCUUUCAACUUUUAAAUCUUGAUUUAUAAAUUUUCUAGCACUAAAAAUAUUAUUUUUAUGCCCAGAUUUUUUGUUAAACACUAAAGCUCAAAGAUUUUGUAAUUUUCCUUAGCAUCAAAGCUCACUUAAGGUAAGGAUGAAAGAUUUAUGGGUUUUAGCUAAAAAAUUAGUUUAGCUUAAAGCGAAUAGUUUGGAAAGUAACUAGAAUAAUUAUUACGAGAUUCUUAUUCUAGGAAAUGAUUGUAAUGAAUGUUGUGUGAUAGGAACACGUGAAAACUCCAUGAAUUUUGCCAAAACAAAGUUGUGAUUGGAGCUAGGAAUUGAAUCUCCAACUAGGUGAGUGGAUAUACCUUUUCAAGUAUUUUAAUAUGUAAAGUUAACAUGGUUUUUAUGGAAAUGGUUAUUGAAGCAUGAUGAAAAAUUAUUUCCAUAAAUGGUUUAUUAAAGGAUUUGAGUACAAGGUUUAUGAAGUUUUCAAGGAAAUAUUCAAAUGUUUUGAUUUGAUAAUGAUUAUGAUAUGUGUGACACAAUGAUUUUUAAAUUGUUUACGAAUCUACUAUGUACAUAAAUAUGCUACUAUGUAUUAGUUUGUAGCAAAGGGGGACAAGCUUUUUUAUGUUUGUAGUCCACUCGAUUACUUCGACUUUUGGGCUGGUGUAGGUACGAGAUAUUGUAUGUUUAUUUAUAAAUGCUGUAAUUUGCAUGAAAGCAUGAUGAAUGCCAUUAGAUUAUGUAUAUGAUAUAUAUUCCAUGUACUACAUGAGAUGAUUGAGAAAGCAUGAUGAAUGCCAUUAGAUUGUGUAUUUGAUUUAUAUUCCUUAUACUACAUGAGAUGAUUGAGAAAGUAUGAAGAAUGCCAUGAGAUUAUGUACAUGAUGUAAAUUUCAUAUACCUUAUGAGAUGAGUAAGCAUGUAUAUGAAAGACAUUCCACAUACCACAUGCUAUGAGUAUGAGAACUCAAAGAGUGCGAUUGAUUUCACUCUCAUAGAGUGCAAGUGACUACUUCACUCCUAUGAUGCAUCAUAAACGUCAAGGUGCAAUGGGAUUGUACAUUGCCGGCCCAAGGUUGAUGUGGGACGUACCAUCACAAAGUAUGAGCUUAAUGUUAAUGGAAUGAUCGUAAUUACUAUGUUUAUGGUAUGUUGCAUACUAAUGUUGUUUGAGUAUUGUUCAUGAUUUGUACUCUAUGAUGGCAUGAUAAUGUGCUUAAUGAUGAAGACUGAACUUUAGAGAAAGUCCCAAAAGGUAAGGGAAUUUAAGAAAUGGUAAAAUGAAGGAUUUUGUCUAAAAUUUCGGUUCUGGUCUAAAAGUAUCGAUAGAUGGGUUAAGUAUCAAUAUAUUCUAAACAGAAUGCUUUAGGAGGCUUUCUGUGCGAAAUGUAUAUAUACAUUUUACAAAUGUAUCAAUAGAUGUAUGAAAGUAUCAUUACAUUCAAGAAUAUACUAAUAGUUUUGGUGUAGAAUAGGCUGUUUGAUUGAAUUUGAUGAGAAUUUCAAAGGUAUAAGAUUCCCAAAUGUCUAUAUUGACAUGAUUUUAUACGAAUACUAUUCAAAUGUGUUCAAAUAACAUGUUUGAUGAAUUCUAUGAUUAGAUUGUUUAUGAAAGACAUGAGAUUACAAGUGCACGUUUACGAAAUACUCUUAUCUCUUGGUUUGUCCCCUUUCUGUAUCCACUUAUGGAGUCUUUAUGACUCACACGUUAUUUUCACCAUUUAUUUUGUUGUAGAUCAGUGAUAGUGUCUGAUAAUAGCCAGUAUCACAACUACCAAUGUCCAGUCUUCAUUCUUUGGUAGGUGUCUAGUAACCACUUUAUGCCUAAAAGGUCGGUCACGUUCCGAUAACGAGUCAGUCUUUUAUUUUAUGUUUCGUUUAAAAACUAUGAACAUAUUGAUGUUAAUGUUGCCAUGUUGGGCAUUCUAUAUUGAUAAUGUUACAUAUGAGAUUAUGAUGAUGGCUUAAAAGCCUACAUGGACACCUCGAGGGUGUUGUUGACAGCUAAUGCUAAUGUGCUCUAUGAUAGUUGCACUUUUUUAGAUAUAUAUGUAUACUAAAUGCUUAAAGAAGUUUCUUAGUUGUAUAAUGAGUUUUAUGAAUGUAUGUAUUAUGAUUACAUACGUUAAUGGGUGUUAUAUGAUGCUUUCGCAUGUGAUGAUGAAUGCUUGAUGAUGUUAUGAUAAAAGGCUUGCUUGGGCCUAACGUGUUAUGCUUGUCUGGGUUCAUGCGCUGGUCAUGAUUCUUUCAGGAAAUGGGAUGUGACAAAGUUGGUAUCAGAACAUUAGGUUCAUAGAGUCCUAGGAUUUUCUUUGCUUGUCAGUGAAAUUUUUAGAGUCAUAUGUAAGAAUCUUGUUUUUGUUUUGUGUACCUUAGCACAAACCAAGAACAAGAGACCCACAUAUAAUUCCUUGUCAGUUUACCCACAUUAUACUUAAGAGUUAUGUCUAGAUGUAUUGUGAGUCUUGAGCAUUGAGUCUUACAGUAUAUGAUUGCUUUUGUCAAAGGGAGAUAUGUCUCCUAGGACAUGGGCUAGUGAUAGAGAUGCGGAAGAGCUUGAGACUCCCAUAAAUGCUAUAGGUAGACCACAAACCCCUAUUGUUAGGGGUCGUUGAGGAUGCAAUAGAGCUAGAUGCUCCCGUUAAGACUAUGGUAAGGCUACAUACGCCUAUAAAAAAAGGUUGUGGUAGAUGCAGUAGAGCAUGAGGCUCCCGUAGAGAUUAUGAAUAGACCACGUAUGCCUACUGUUUGAGGCUGUAGCAAACAUGGUAGGACUGCCAAUUUAGGGAAGACCGAUACCCCUAUUAGUGCACAAAUAAGGGGACAGUGUUCCGAGGUAGCAGUUAGGAUUGUGAUGAGUUAAUGUUCUUUAUAGUUCGAACUCAUGAAUUACAUGUGAUAGUUUAGGUAAGAGUGCCACCUCGAAAUCGAGCCAUGAUUAGAGGAAAUUUUUAGAGCAAAAGACUUUUAAUGAUACAACGACAAGGUCGUAUGUUUGAAUUCUAGUGACUCAAUAGAGAGGUAGUAAUAACUCUAUUAUAUAGAGUUAUUUUGACACAUUUUGGGGGCUUAGGUAGUUAGAUCUUUGAGAUUUUAGGUUCAAAUCGUAGCAUUUUAGGUGUUUUUCUAGUUUAAGUUUGAUUACAUGUUGAGUAGUUAAUUUAUGUUAUUUUAGUUAAAUUUUAUGUUAUUUUCUUUUAAAUUACUUUAAGAGUAGUUAUUGCUAAUUUCUCUUAUUGCUUUUGUAGAAAAUUUGAUGAAAAAGGCUCAUAUGAUGAAAAUCAGUAUAAAUAUGGUGAUGGCUUCAUUCGUAUAUGUUUUAGUAUUUUGAUCAUAUCUUUAUCUACAAAGCUCCAAAUGAAAUGAUUCUUAGACCACUAAUAUUCUAAGAAGAAAGGCUACAACGUUUAUGUUUAUUAAUUUGCCCAGUUCUAAUUGGAUCAUGGUCAAAAUAUUUGUCUAAUUUAGAGAACUGCAGCAAUACGAAUGGACUGAACAUGAUACAGUAUUUGGAGCAUUUCUUUCAAUCCGAAAGUCAAAUUGACAUGAUUCCUAAGCCAUUGGAAAUUAAGAGAUAGGGCUACAAUUUUUAUGUUUACCACUUUUCCCAGUUUGGAGCAGAUCAUGGUGAAAAUCACGUUCAAAGGUGAUAGACUGCCCCAACAUUGGGUGAACAAAGCUGCAACGCUGGUGAAAGGAAGUUUACCAUACGAUUUUCCAAAGAGCUCAGCGUUGCAGCACUGGAGAAGUAGUGUCGCAGCACUAGGCGAUUUUCCAAAACUAAAAAAAGUUGACAGGAUUUUGGAAAUUAGGUUAUUUGGAGCCUAUUUAAGGGACCUUUUUCAGAGAUUUUAAAGAAGAGGCCACAAGCAACUAUUCUGAAGAUUGGGAGCCAAGAACAAAGCAAGAAAUUAAGAGAAUUGGAGGGAGAAUCAAGCUCACAAAUCUCCAACUAUUAGUUUUCUCUCUUUAACUUUUGUAUUUUUUUUUUACUUGGAUUAAUGGCUAAUUUUCUUUGGAUGAAGUUUUUAUUAGAUAUUAUAAGCUAAACUUAUUUUUCUAGGAUUGCAAUUGAACUCGCAUGUAAUCUAAACUUUUAAUCUCUCCCUUGCUUAUCUUUAAUGGGAUUUGAAUUGUUUAUUCCAAUUUGUUCUUAAUGCUUUUAAUUGCUUGAUCACCAAUUAAAUUGAUUUAGGAACCUAAACAAACUUGAGAAAGGGAGUUUAGUGUAGAAUAAAAUUGAGAUAGCAUAUGAUCAUACUAAUUGACUUGCAUAUAGGAUAGGUAUAUACCUAUAGGCCUUAUGUAGCCAAAUUAGAGCCUGAACUUAAUGAGUCUAUGUUAAUUUUAAUUCACAUAGGGAUAUAGUGUUUUGGUCAAAAUAGAUAUUCUUAUAAGAUGAGUUGACAGACCUUUAUAAAUAAUUGAGGACUCUAGGUUAGAAAUUUAACCCAUUGAAAUAAGUUAUGGAAGAGAGUUAAGAUUUAGAUAAAGUGUGAGGGAUAUUGUAAUCCUAGGCUUGUUUAAUUUGAUAUUUACCUAAUUAUCUUGUUGCUUUGAUUUUUUUAAGUAUAAAUUUUGGUUAAUUAGUUUUAGUUACUUAAUGUAGUUAUUUGAAUUUGAUUAUUUGGAUAAGAUUAAAUUAUUAUAAUUUUAGUACUUAGUAAAAUUUUAGAUCAAUUAUUUGUGGGAUCGAUACUCUGCUUGCUUAUACACUAUCUAUUUGAUACGUAUACUUGCGUAGUAGAAUUUUAACUGACAGGCAGAACUACUAGAAAUGCUUGAGCAUAAACAAAAAGAGGUAAAGGUAUGUAUUUUGGUCACAAGGUGUCGAUGAGGACCCUCGGGUUAAGUACAACCCUAGAUGAUUAAAUGAAGAAUUAUGGAUAAUUGAUAAUGGCGUUAAAACGUAGACUAACGCGAACUAGUAAAUGAUUUUGGUGUAUGAGAGAUACACAACACCUUCAUGUUAACCUAGAUGUGAAGCAUAAUGAAAAUUUUGUUAAUAAUUUCAAGGAUUAUAGUACACACUCCCUUGAGAAAAGAUGCUAAUAAGAAAAUACAAGAAGUUGAAAGGCUUGAUUGGUCGAUAAAGGACUAAGAAAUGCCUACUUGAUUCAUGUUGAGAUAGAUAUUAGAAAGAAUUUUGAAUCCAAAAGUCUUAUGGCUACAAAACUAGCCUUUUUUGAUAAGAUUUCAAUGGAUAUCACUAUAGAUAAGUUGAUGACUCAUGAGAGUCUAAGUGUGAAAUGUUGAGGUUGACAAUUGAGGAUAUUAUAAAUCAUGUUUACUAAAUGGCAUUAUUGGCAUAGUGCCAUAAAAAGGCUUCAUUUCCAACCAUGUACAAGUAAUGGGUUAGCCUUAUGGUGAUUAAACAAUGAAAUCGCUCUAUGGUAAUGUUAACUAUAUGGGGUAGUAUUACCCAAGUUAAAUCACGUGGAUCAUGAUUUAUAAUGUGACGUGGAUCGUAGCCAUUUAUUUUGGGUUACAAUGUAAGUCUCCAUAGCUUAUUAUUCAUCAUGGCGUAAGGUGUUGUCAUGACAUUAUGGAUGAAGACUAAUGUUCACUAUGAAAAGGAAUUAAAAGCCACCGUACCCUUGAAAGCGGUAUUUGUGACAGGACAAGUGUAUAGAGAUUGUAUGGUCUGAAUUGGGAACAAGGAUACUUCAACAAAUUUAGUUUUGGUAGAAAUGUUGGAGAUUGAUGCGAUGUUGGGUACACACUGAUUAUCAUCUAAUUAUGCUAGUGUUGAUUACCAUUACAAGAUGGUAUUCUUUAACUAUCCAGGGGAGAAACCGUUUAGUAUCCAAAGGGAUCAUAGUGGUGCUGGGUAGUAUGAUUUUAGUCUUAGUAGCUAAAAGAUUGAUUGAUCAUGGAUGUUAGGGAUUCUUGGCAUUGGUUAAGGACACCCAAAUGGUGGUGAAUGAGGUGGCUGACGUACUAAUUGUGAGAAAGUUCACUAAUGUGUUUCCUGAAGAGUUGCUAGGAUUGCCUUAGAUAAAGAUAUAGAGUUUUGCAUCGACUUGGUAUAAGGUAUUAGUCUGAUAUCUACACCACUAUACCAAAUGGCAUCAGCUGAGCUUAGAGAGCUCAAGGAUCAACUAUAGGACUUUUUGGACAAAUGGUCGUUCGUCCUAAUGUGUGACCAUGUUGUACACUAGUGCUAUUCGUAAAGAAAAAAGAUGGAUCAAUGAGACUGUGUAUAGAUUAUCGACAGUUGAAUUAGGCAAUAGUGAAGAAUAAGUAUCCUUCACCACGCAUUGAUGAUUUGUUGAUUAGCUCCAAGGAGCCUAAUGUUUUUCUAAGAUUGACUUGAGGUCAAGCUAUCAUCAAUUGAGAAUCAGGUAAGAAAAUGUGCCUAAGAUUGCCUUUCAUACUAGAUAUAGGCAUUAUGAGUUCUUAGCAAUGUCAUUUGAGCUUACAAAUGCCCUAGCUGCUUUUAUGGACAUGAAGAAUCAAGUGUUCAAGCCAUACUUGGAUAAGUUUAUGGUGGUAUUUAUUAGCGAUAUAUUGAUAUACUCAAGGAGUAGACAGGAGCAUCAACAGUAUUUAAGGAUAGUGCUUUAGAUUUUGAGAGAGCGCAAGUUAUAUGCCAAGUUCUCCGAGUGUGAGUUUUGACUUGUUGGUGUUAGCUUCUUAGGCCAUAUAUGUAAAACCCGACCCUAUAAACACAUGUCAUGACAUACAUGCCCUGAGUAGAAUGUUAUUAUGCUAGGAAAGUCCUAAGAUAGACGAAACUCGGUAUUGUACCUAACGGUACACUUGAGUUGAUUUAACCUCGAACUAGUUCAAAUAGGAAUCGUAGGAUGAAAUUUAAUAUUUUAUAGUCAAGGAAUGACUAAAAAUGAUUGUUCGGAGUUCAAGGGUUUAUUUGAGGUAAAAUUGGAAAUUUUGAUGUUCAUGGGUAAAAUCGUAAUUUUACCACCCGUGGACAAAAUUUGAGAUUUUGAGAGAAUUUAGAUCAAAUUUAACAAAUUGGGGAAUGGUAUGAGUAUAAGGGAUGAAAAAUAUGUCUAUGGGUAAUUUUUCAGUUUUUUGGGCAAAAAUGUAAUUUUUCACUUUUACGUGGCAAAAGUGUAAAUUUUAAAAAUUACUCCACCGAGACUUUGGAUAAGUCUGAGAAUUUUAUCUAAGCUAUGGAUAUGUGGGACAAGUGUAUGGUGAAAAUUUGGAAACAAAUGGAUGAAAUUUUAAAAAUGGGCCAAUGGGAAAGUGACACUGGUAUUUUUUAUGAUAUAAUAUUAUUUUAAUGAAAAGUCAGCCCAUUUAAACCCCAUUUUAAGUGCUGGCAGGCCAUAAGGGAGAACAAGAGAGAAAAUAGAGAGGAAAGGAAGAAAAAAAGAAAAACCAAAGAGAACCAAGAAAAUUCAAAGGGGAAUUCGCGUUUUUCGCCCGUUUACGAGUCUAACGGUAAGAUUUUUCGACUUUAGCUUGAUUUCUACCUUUCUUAUGCCUUUGUUUCCAUUUAGCAUGCUUGAGGAGAGAUAUCUAAAAGUGACACCAAGGGCUGGACGAAAUUCUAGGGGAGAGAUUUUGAAAUUUUUAGGUUUUGAUUUUUAGUUAAAUUGGUAGUUUUAGUUAGUUAAAUGUGUUUAGAAAUUAAAUUGGGCAAAAAAGCAUUAAAUUUUCACAAUACCCACCCUUGGCUGAAUCUGCAAUGAGGUACAAUGAUGAUGAUCUGAUUUUUAUUCUAUGAGAAAUGAAGAGAAAAUGAUGAAAAAUGGUUAAAUGUGAUAGAAAAACAAAGUAGAAAAUUUACCGAGUUAAUGUCCUAUUUUUGGCCAAAUUUUCCAAGGAAGAGAGUGAGAUGAUUUUGGUGAUUUUAGAGGAAUAUUGGUUGAUAAUUAAUGGUUAGAAAGGUUGGAGAGAGAAUGGGACAAUUUAGAGCUAACAUGGAGCGCGUUAGCAAUUUAUCAGGUAAAGUGCCAAAAAUAGGUUAAUACCGCGUUUAAGCCAUUUUUGGCUAUUGCAUUUCAUACCAUGCAUUAGUAUGGGAUUUAAGUCAAAUAUAUAGUGAUUUAGUAUUAAUGAGAUGAAUUGAGUAAAUUUUUGCAAUGUGUCUAGGAGGAGAGCCUUCCGAUAAAGGCAAGAAAAUCGUACCCGAUGAGUAGUUAUCGGGGCACCUAAAAAGCAAUUAGUUUGUACAAACUGUGAGUAAACCUAUUAUUAUUGUGAAUUAUCUAGAGUUAUUUUAAAAAUGCUCUUUAUGUAUUUUAUGAAACGAAAAUGAGAUUAAAACACGAUUUUUGAUGUUUUAGAAAUAAAUAUGAAAAAAAAAUAUUGUGUUGAUUAUGAAAUUGAGUAAUUAGAGGCUGUUAAUUGUCUUGAAAAUUAUAUAUUUUCCUAUGAAUGGCUUAUGAGAUAUAAGUAUAUGUUGCUAUAUUUUGUAAGUGCAUUGAGAAAUUUAUGUAAGCUAUUUUUACUAUGCAGGCUGGAUAAAUAAAUAAAAACCACGUUACACUGUCGAAAUUGUAUUAAAAUUGGUGGGUUAGUUACUGCAGUGACGGGUUUCCAUGGACUGCCUAUUAGAGGGGCACGGUAAACCCGGUUAUAUAGUUACUCCAGUUGUAGAGGCGAGGAGGGUAACUCCCGGGGUAGUAUUAAAGCUCACUUCACGUCGAACCCCCACGUGAAUGUGUAACUCAGCCAGCGCCAAGGAACGGCUUGUUUUAAAAAUAAAAAUGUGUUUCACAUGUAAAUGUUAUAACAACCUUGGCGGACUCGGUUAGAUGCCUCGGCCAAGGUAUCCCCGAGGAUUAGUUUUGGCUUGAGCCUUGUUUUAAUAAAAGACAUAAGCCUUAACAACUGUUUUGGUAAAUUACAAAUAUUUUAUGGUUUAAGAAAUAAAUUGAAAACAUUAUGAAAUGGUUUGUGAUUUGUUGUUUAAACUUGCCUCCCUGUUACUCGCCUUUAGAUAUUUAUGAUAAUGUUUGUUUACUCAUUGGGAUUGCAAAAUCUCACUCACCUCCUUUCCAAACAUUUCAGGUCUGUGGUAGCUUGUAGAUACCUUAUUUUGUCGAGGAUUCCAGUUGACAUCUCUACCACACAGACAGUAGGUUUCUAGCACCACCACUGGGUGUAUUUUGGGCCACUUGUCAUUGUAACCAUUAUUGUACAUUAUAACUUAGUAAAUUUUUGUAUGUAUAAAUUUAUUUUACUUACACAUUACAAAAGAUUUCUUACACGUGUUUCUAUAAAUAUUGUUUUAUAUAAAAAUGUUAUAUUUUAAUCAAUAUUUUGAAUAGUGAUAUUUGUCUAUAAAUCAUUUUAAAAAAAAAAUUCUUUGGAUUUAUUUGAGUCGAAAACGACUGGUAAUUGUUUUAAAUGGAAUGUUUAACAACGAUUGCUCACAGGAAAGGAAAGAAACUGAUAUGUAAGCCUUGCGGGGUUUCGGUUGGCAUUCCGGGUAAUGAGUGUCAAUCGAGACGUCGCGACAGUUGUCAUGGGCCCGAGGGAGGUUCCGGGUUGUGACAAUAUAGUAUUUAAAAAGGGUGUGAUGUUGGACUCGAAUAAGAUUGACGCCGUAGGGAAAUGGCCAAGGCCUACCUUAGUAAUUGAGAUAAAGAGUUUCCUAGGGUCGGUUGGACAUUAUAGGAGAUUCGUUAAAGAUUUCUCUAAGAUAGCAGCUCCCAUGACUAAGUUGACACAGAAUGAUGUCAAGUUUAUAUGGAUGGAUGCAUGUGAGGAGGGCUUUGGGAAGCUUAAGACUUGUUUGACCACAGCUCUAGUAUUAGCUUGCCUUGUGGGUCAAAGGGUUACACGAUUUAUUGUGACGCUUCACAAGCAGGACUUGGAUGUGUGUUAAUGUAGCAUGGGAAAGUGAUAGUUCACAUUGAGACAGCUCAAAAAGCAUGAACAAAAUUACCCCACCCAUGAUUUAGAGAUGGCUACUAUAGUAUUUGCCCUAAAGAUAUGGAGGCAUUACUUGUAUGGUAAGACGUGUGAGAUUUAUACAAAUCAUGAGAGCCUUAACUACAUCUUUGAGCAAAGAGAUCUUAACCUUAGGCUACAUAAAUGGAUGGAGUUGCUUAAAGACUAUGAUUGCACUAUUUUGUGUCAUCUUGGUAAAGCCAAUGUGGUGGUUGAUGCUUUAAGCCGAAAGUCUAUAGGAAGUUUAGCCCACAUUUUCAUUGAGAGGAAAUCACUGAUAUAUGCAUGAGUUGGAUGAUAUGGGCAUUCGGUUUGUGGUCAAUGAUAUCGAUGCAUUAUUAGCCCAUUUUAGAGUGAGACUAAUGUUAAUGGCUUGGAUCAAAGAGGCACAAAGACAAGGAUGAUUUUGUCACAAUAGCAUUAAAGGAUCCUUAAGGAAAGAAAGGUCAAAUGUUCACUAGAGGCACUGAUGGAUUACUUAGAUAUGGAUCUAGAGUAUUUGUGUCGAAUGUUGAUGAUUUGAGGUGAGAGAUUCUUGGAAGAGGCCCACUUGGCAGCAUAUGUAGUUCAUCUAGGCACCACUAAGAUGUACCAUGACUUGAGAGAAAUAUACUAGUGAGAAGGCCUUAAAAAAGAUGUGGCCGAGGUUGUGGCCAAGUGCUUAGUGUGCCAACAAGUUAAGGUAGAGCAUCAGAGGCUUGUCAAACUGUUAUAGCCUUUACUUAUUCUCGAAUAGCAGUGACAGCAUAUUUCUAUAGACUUUGUGACUGGACUAUCCCACAUGAGUAAGGGGCACGAUUCCAUUUAGGUGAUUGUGGGUAGAUUAACUAAGUUCACUCAUUUCUUACUGAUAAGGACGACCUAUGGAGUGCCAUAAUAUGCUAGGCUAUAUAUUAAUGAGAUAGUACGAUUGCAUAGAGUUCCAAUUACCAUAAUAUUUGAUAGGGGCACAUAGUUCACUAGUAGAUUUUGAGGGAAAGUGCAAGAGGCAUUGGGUACUAAGUUAAACAUUAGCGCUACUUUCCAACCAUAGACAGAUUUACAGUCUGAGAAGACCAUUCAAAUGUUGGAGGAUAUGUUGAGGGCAUGUGUCAUAGAUUUUAGAGUCACUUGGGACUGACACUUACCUUUGAUCGAGUUUGCUUAUAAUAACAGUUUUCAGGCCAGCACUCAAAUGGCGCCUUAUGAGGCUUUAUACAGGUGGAGAUGUAGAUUUCCCAUAUGUUGAUUUGAGGUCAGUAAGCGAGCGUUACUUAAGCUGGAAUUAGUUGACAAGAUACAGUUAAUUAGGGAGAAUAUGCUAAUGGCACAGAGUCACCAAAAAUCAUAUGGCAACCAUACACAUCGAGAGUUAGAGUUUGAGAUUGGUGACCAUGUGUUCUUGAGGGUUUCGCCAACUAAAGGCAUUAUGAGGUUUGGAAAGAAAGGCAAGCUAAGUCCAAGGUAUAUUAGACCUUUUGAGAUUUUAGAGAAAGUUGGUGUAAUGGCUUAUCGACUAGCACUUCUGUUGGAUCUUGCUAAUGUUUAUUCCAUGUUUCAUGUUUCGGUAAUACGGAAGUACUAACCGGAUCCAUCGCACGUGAUACAACAUGAGUCCAUAUAGUUGGGAGAUGAUUUAAGUUACGAGGAAGUAUUGGUAGCCAUACUAGAUAGGCAAGUGAAGAAGUUAUGCUCUAAAGAGAUAGCCUCAGUUAAGGUACAAUGUCACAAGCACUCGAGUAAGGAGGUGACUUAGUAAGCCAAGGAUGACAUGCGAGCGAAGUAUCUACAUUUCUUCCGUGAAGGUUAGUGCAUUAGUUAAAUUCGAGGAAGAAUUUUAAUAAGGGGGGAAAAUGUGAAAUCCCACCUUAAGUAAGUGGAUAAGUUAGGAAAUCCUUAGGUGAGCACAUAGAUUACAUGUUUGGAAUAUCAAACUUAGUUUCGACCUUCAAAAGAAUUCAUUGACACUUUUAGUUAUUUAUCACUUUUAAAGUAGAAAAUUUUUUAAGUCUUGAAGGGGUCAAAAUAUGUGAUUUUUAUAAAACAAUCUUUUGGAAAUAAAAAAUGGUGGUAAUGAUUCCCUUGACUUUUAAAUGUCCAAAAAUAAUUUUUUUUCAUAAUUUUGGAAUACAUUUGCUAUGCUAAAUGGGAACCGUAAAUUUAAUUUCUGUCAAACUUUUUCGAUUUUGUUCUUGAAACCAAAAUUUAGAUUUUGAUUCGUUUGGAUUUUGAUUUUUUUUUAUAUUUUUAUUGAAUCCAAACAGAGGGUUGUUCGCUUAUUUACAUUAAAUACCAUUUAAGUAACUAUAUUUACUUAAGAUAUUUAAUGUAAAUAAGCUGGGCAGGUUUUAUAGGCAAUCUAUCUUAGAAACUGCAUUCUGUCUCAAAUGUAUCUACACAUUUAAUCCAGAAAGUGUUUCUAACGAACAUGUAUUGAUAUAUGCUCAUAAUGUAUCGAUACAUUUUCUCCAGAACCAAAUGCAUCGAUACAUUUUCUCCAGAACCAAAUGUAUCGAUACAUUUCAUCGAUUUUUCAAAAAAUAAAAAGGGUAAAAGGGUAUUUUCACACCCCAUAGUAUAAAUAUGACUCCUACCCCAAGGGUUUUUCAUUUUAAGCUACCACCCAUCAGUUUUUCAACAACUCUAAGCUCUUUCAAACCAAUUUUCACCCCAAAUCAUCAUUUAGGAAGAUUAAAAGCUUGGUUUUGGGUUUUUCAAACAAAGGUGACAUCUUUCAACUUUUAAAUAUGGAUUUAUGAAUUUUCUGGCACUAAAAAUAUUAUUUUUAUGCCUAGAUUUUCUACUAAACACUAAAGCUCAAAGAUUUUGUGAUUUUCCUUAACAUCAAAGCUCACUUAAGGUAAGGAUGAAAGAUUUAUGGGUUUUAGCUAAAAGCGGGUAGUUUCGAAAGUGUAUAGAAUGAUUAUUAUGAGAUUCUUAUUCUAGGAAAUGAUUGUAAUGAAUGUUGUGUGAUAGGAACGUAUGAAAACUCCAUGGAUUUUGUCGAAAUGGAGUUAUGAUUGGAGCUAGGAAUUGAAUCUCCAACUAGGUGAGUGGAUACACCUUUUCAAGUAUUUUAAUAUGUACAGUUAACAUGAUUUUUUAUGGAAAUGUUUGUUUAAGCAUGUUUAAAAUUUAUUUCCAUAAAUGGUUUAUUAAAGGAUUUGAACUAUAAGGUUUAUAAAGCUUUCAAGGAAAUAUUCCAAUGUCUUGAUUUGAUAAUGAUUGUGAUAUCUGUGACAUAAUGAUUUUCAAAUCGUUUAUGAAUCUAUUAUGUACGUAAAUAUGCUAUUAUGUAUUAAUUUUCAACAACGGGGGACAAGCCUUUUUAUGCUUGUAGUCCACUCAAUUAUUCUGACUUUCGGGCUAGUGUGGGUAUGAGAUAUUGUAUGUUUGUUAUAGAUGCUAUAAUGUGAAUGAAAGUAUGAAAAAUGCCAUUAGAUUAUGUGUAUGAUGUAUAUUCCAUAUACUACUUAAGAUUUUGAGAAAGCAUGAUGAAUGCCAUUGGAUUGUGUAUAUGAUGUAUAUUCCAUAUACUACAUAAAAUGAUUGAGAAAGUAUGAAGAAUGCGAUGAGAUUAUGUAUAUGAUGUUAAUAUGCCAAGAUUUGUUGAUGAGCAUGAAAAAUACUCUGUAGAAAAGUGUAAAACAAGGAAACUGGAAGAAGAGAAAACUAAGUAAAGCCAGGAAACCAAGAAACUAGAAGAAGAGAAAACUAACUUCUUAUCGAGUCAAGAGUUUAUUACACCUAUUUAUACACAAGUCAUACUGUCAUCAAAAAAGACAAAUUCUAAUUACAAAAUAAUUAAAUAUAUAAUUAGAUAUCUAUUUACAAUUGGACACGUGUAUGUAUUUAACAUCCCCCCUCAAGAUGAGAAUUAUGAACAUGGAUGUUCAGAAUAUUCAUCUUGUUGAGUAGAAAAUGGAAUUGCCUUAGUAACAAUGCCUUGGUAAAAAGAUCAGCUAAUUGUAAAUUUUUCUAUAUGUAGCUUGGCUUGAUGAGUCCUACAAUCACCUUCUCUCCCACAAAAUGAUAAUCUACCUCUAUAUGUUUGGUCCUUUCAUGGAAAAUAGGAUUUUUGCAUAUACUUAGUGUUGACUGUUUAUCACAGUACAACUCAACAGCAUUUGAGUGUGUUACACCAAAAUCAUUCAACAAAAACAACAACCAAAUGAUCUCACUACUUGUAGCAAACAUUGAUCUAUAUUCUGCUUUAGUAGAACUCUUUGCCACAACACUUUGUUUCUUAGAUUUCCAGCUUAUUAAGGAAUUCCCAAGAAAAAUUGCAUAUCAUGUCACUGACUUCCUUGUGGUUAGGCAGCCUGCCCAAUCAUUAUCACAAUAAGCCUUUAGUUUUAAAUGUGAUGAUGUCGAUAGGAUAAUUCCCUGACCUGGAAAACCUUUUAAGUAUUUAAGAAUCCUAUAAGCAGCCUACAAAUGAGUAUGUCCUGGUUUGUCCAUAAAUUGAGAUAAAACUUACACCCCAUACACAAUAUCUAGCCUGGUGAAAUUCAGAUAUAUUAACUUCCCAAUAAGCUGUCUAUACACAGCACCAUUAGAUACCAAAUCGUUCUCUGUUGCAAUUGAUAUCUUAUGGUUAUAAUCCAUUGGGGUUGAAGCUAGUUUUGAUCCCAAUAAAUCCUCAAUAAGAUCUAGUGCAUAUUUCCUCUGACACAGUAAAAUGCCUUUAGAGGAUCUAGAUAUUUCAAUCCUUAGGGAAUAUUUAGGUGCACCAAGGUCUUUUAAUUUGAACUUUGACUUCAAAUACUCUUUUGCCUCAAACUCAACUUAUGCAUUAGAACUAGCAACCAAAAUAUCAUCCACAUAUACUAACAAAGCCACAAAAUCUCCUUUAUCUAUUGUCUUUGAAAACAAAGAAUAGUCUGCCUUUGAUUGUACAAACCCAUGCUAAAUCAGUGUUUGUGUAAAUUUUGCAUUCCAUUGUCUUGAAGCUUGUUUGAGGCCAUGUAAUGACUUUUUCAACUUUAUAAACAAACUUAACACCUGGUGGACACUUUCCUUGAACAUCAAACCCUUGAGGAAGUUCCAUAUAAACAUCCUCAAGAAGAUCACCAUUCAUAAAUGCAUUAUUAAUAUCUAACUGUGACAGAGACCAACCAUGAAUAGUAGACAAAGCUAGAAAAACCCAAUAGUGCUUUAAACUUGUCAAUACUAAAAGAAUCUUGAUAAUCAAACCCUUCCCUUUGGUUGUAUCCUUUAGCUACCAAUAGUGCUUUAAACUUGUCAAUACUGCUAUCAGCUAGUAGUUUAAGUUAGUACACCCAUUUACAGCCAAUAAUCAGAAAAUCACAUGGAACAGUAAUUAUUUCCCAAGAUUUGUUCUCUUUUAAAGCACACAAUUCAGCUUGCAUAGCAUUCUUCCACUAAGCAUGCUGAACAACUUCUACAUAGGUUAUAGGCUCAGGAGUAUUGGAUAGAUUAGUGGUAAAAAUCUUUUGAGUGGUGGAGAGCUAACUAGCUAAUAGGUAUUUACUAAUGGGAUAUGCUAUAACAUUAGAUGUUAAUGAAGGAAAAUCACUCUAAUAAGAAUUUAGAUAUUUAGGAACCUAUCUUAUUCUAGCACUCCUUCUAAGAUUAAAGGAUGAAUCUGAUUGUGAACCAGGGUUAGAGUUUAGAUUAGGCUGUGAAGAUAGAUCUAGUUGUACAUCAAACUCAGGCUGUAAAGAAGAUUCUGGUUGUUCAUGAGAAUCAGAAGAGGAAUUUAUAUGGGAAAAAGGUGGGUCAUUAAAGAAAUAAUAUGGUGUAAGUGAUGAGGAGCAAGUAAGUAAAGAAAUUUGUGGAGAAAACUAUGUUGCUUAACUUUUGAAAAGGAAAAAUUGUUACAUGAAACACAACAUUCUUGGAAACUAAAUACUUACGACUCUCUAGAUCAUAAAGCUUGUAACCCUUAACACCAAACGAAUAACCAAUAAAAAUGCAUGGUUUGGCUCUAAGAUCAAAUUUUUUUCUAUUUUGUGACAAAGUGCUAGCAAAACAUACUGAACCAAAAACUUUAAAAUGAGAAUAUGAAUGAGGUUUUUGAUAUAACAAUUCAAAAGGUGUUUUAUUUUGAAGGAUUGGUGAGGAUAUUCUGUUAAUGAUAUGUGUGGCUGUCAAAAUGGGAUCUCCCUAGAAUUUAAUAGGAAGAUAAGCUUGAAACAAAAAAGCUCUAGCAACAUUCAACAAGUGCUGAUGUUUUCUUUCUACUAUGCCAUUUUGUUCUUGAGUCUCCACACAAGACAAGUGAAGCACAAUGCCAUGUUUAGAGUAAACAUCUAUUAACUUAAACUCCUGUCCAUUAUCUAUCCUUAUGAUCUGUAUUGAUGCAUGAAACUGAGUUUGUACCAUUUGACAGAAUGUAGGAAUGAUAUUACUAACAUCAUAUUUAACUCUCAUCAAAUAUAAGCAAGUAAACCAAGUAAAAUCAUCCACAGUUGUUAAGAAAUAAUGAUGUCUUGAUAAUGUGGGUGUGAAAUAGGGUCCCCAUAUAUCAACAUGAAUUAAUUCAAAAGGUUUUGUAGUGGACUGUGUGUAUGAAGGAAAUGGUAACUUCUUCUGCUUAGCUAAAGGACAUAUAUUGCAUUGAAAAUUUUCUGUACAACUCACAUCAAAACAACAUUUAUGAAUCGGUUUUAUUCUUUGUGGUGAUACAUGGCCUAGCCUAUAAUGCCAUAUAUCUAUACCACGAUUUAGAGAAUGACAAGUAGACUUUGAACAAACACCAUGAACUAACAAUCACUUUGUAUUUAUAGACUUGACACAAUCAUGGCUAGUUUUAGGAAGAACAAAAACAACAGAACCAUUCUUAACAGGAACUUGAUUAUUCUCAACAUUCAAUUUGGCAAGAAAUUGUGCAUUCAACUGUCUUUGUAUGACAUAGAGCCCAGUAGUGACCUCAGCAUGCCCAAUCACUAUCCAUGUAUGGAGAUCUUGAAUGAGACAGUGAUUAUCGGCAAAACAUAAACAUUUGCUUUUAUCAUGAGUAAGUUUACUGAUAGAAACUAAGUUGAAUUUAAAUGUAGGAACCAAAAGACCAUUUUCUAAUUUCAAGGUCUUGGUAAGUUGAACGGUUCCUAGAUGAGAAACAAUAGCUUUGGUUUUAUUUGGCAUCUCAACAAACAUAUUAUGAACAGGCCUAAAGAAACUAAAAUGAUGCAGAGAACAAGUAAUAUGAUCUGUAGAUCCUGUCUCUAAAAUCUAGGUAUUAUGAUUCAAAUUGGGCAACACAUGUGAAACAAAAUUGGUUAAAGAAUUAUGAGAAGAAAUCAUACCUGUCAAUGCAAAAUUUACAAGUGAAGGCUUGUUCUAUUGGUAGUUUGUCUUGACAAGAUUUUCCUUUACAUCAUCUGUAUCAUCUUGCUCAGUGAUUAAUAUCAUGAGCUUCUAAACUUGUGCUUUAUUCAAGGACAAUUAUGAGAUUGAAUUGUUUACUGUCUCUUCAGAAUUUUCUUGUCCAGUACUUGCAGCUGCACUGUUAACUGAUGAUCCUUCCUUUCAAAAAUUUCCUUUCGACUUAGUGAACUUAAAGUUCUUCGAGAAUCUUAUAAUUCGGUAACAUUUUUCCUUGAAAUGCCUUUUUUUGCCACAAUGUGAGCAAACAAUAUUAGCAUUAGAUUCCCUUUUCCCAUCUGUUAUAGUAGCAGCCAUAGCUGAAUUCUCAAUAGGAGAUUGACAUUGCAUAAGCAUAGAUCUCUGUGACUCCUCUAAAAUCACAAGACUAUAGUCUUGAUCAAGACUAGGAAAUGGUUUAAGCAUUAUUAUAUGUGACCUUAAAGCUAAAAAAGAGUCAUUUAAACCAUUCAAGAAACAAAACACAGCAUCUUUGUUGUGUUGAUCAGCAUACUUUUGAUAAUAGUUAUUUUUGCACGCACCACAAUCACAUUGAGGCAACGCCCUAAAAUUCUUUAACUCUUGCCAAACAAAAUUUAGCUUAGUGAAAUAGGCAUCUACUGACCUUGUUCCUUGCAUAAUGCUACCCAACAAAAAUUGAAGGUUACGGAUUCUAGUUUCAUCCGGUUGGGAGAAAUGAUUCUUCAACGUCACCCAUAUUUCUUUAGUUGAAUCCAUGUAAAUAACGUUUGAUGCAAUUGCAGGUGUUAAGGAUUCAAGCAACCAGGCCACGAUCAAACUAUUGUAUCUGUACCAAUGUUCAUACAAAGAAUCCGUCUAUUUCAGCUCUUCAAUCGUUCCAUCUAUGAAACCUCUUUUUUUCCAAAUUGAUAGUGCAAGCAAGAAAGCUCUACUCUAGGAGAGAUAAUUCAUUGCCAUUAGCUUAGGAUUUAUCACCACCGAUCCAUGGUGAUCAGAGUAAUGAAUAUAGUAUAGCGAUGAAGGAUUCUUUGCUAGUGAAAUUUUAGCUUUUGUUAAAGAACUAGCCAUUUUAGGGUUUCAAUUGAAGCAAAACAACAAAUAGAGUUGAAUCUCAAUCUUGUAAGAGAAUGAUGAGCUAGUAGGGAAAAGGAAAAUUAACGAUGUGAAUCUACAAUCAAACGCUCUAAUACCAUGUUAGUUUGCCAAGAUCUGUUGAUGAGCAUGAAAAAUACCCCAUAAAAAAGUGUAAAACCAAGAAACUAGAAGAAGAGAAAACUAAGUAAAGCUAGGAAACCAAGAAACUAGAAGAAAAGAAAACUAACUUCUUAUCAAGUCAAGAGUCUGUUACACUUAUUUAUACACAAGUCAUGUUGUCAUCAAAGAAAACAAAUCCUAAUUACAAAAUAAUUAAAUAUAUAAUCAAAUAUCUAUUUACAAUUAGACACGUGAAUGUAUUUAACAUAUGAUGUAAAUUCUUUAUACCUUAUGAGAUGAGUAAGCAUGUAUGUGAAGGACAUUCCACAUACCACAUGUUAUGAGUAUGAGAACUCAAAGAGUACAAUUGAUUCCACUUUCACGGGGUGCAAGUGAUGACUUCACUCCUAUGAUGCAUCAUAAACGUCCAAGGUGCAAUGGGACUGUACAUUGUCGGCCCAAGGCUGAUGGGGGACGUACCAUCACAAAAUAUGAGUUUACUAUUAAUGGAAUGAUUAUAAUUACUAUGUUUAUGGUAUGUUGCAUACUAAUGUUGUUUGAGCAUUAUUCAUGAUUUGUAUUCUAUGAUGACAUGAGAAUGUGCUUAAUGAAGAAGACUAAACAUUAAAGAAAGCCCCAGGAGGUAAGGGAAUUUAAGGAAUGGUAAAAAUGGAGGAUUUUGGCUAGAAAUUUGGGUUCUGGGUUGAAAGUAUCAAUACAUAUAGGUUAAGUAUUGAUAUAUUCUAAACAGAAUGCUUUAUGAGGCUUUCUGUGAGAAAUGUUCUGAUACAUUUUACUAAUGUAUCAAUAGAUGUAUGAAAGUAUCAAUAUAUUCUAAAUGUAUUGAUAGUUUUGGUAAUGAAUAGGUUAUUUGAUUGAAUUUGAUGAAAAUUUCAAAGGAAAGAUUCCCAAAGGUUUAUACUGACAUGUUUUCAUAUGAAUGCUAUUAAAAUGUCUUCAAAUAACAUGUUUUAUGAAUUCUAUGAUUAAAUUGUUUAUGCAAGACAUGAGAUUUGUUGUCGAUUUUGCACGCGCAAGUAUACGUAUCGAACAAUAUAGUGAUGAAGUAGAGUAUCGUUCCCACGGAGAUUUGUUCCAUAAUCUUUACUAAGUAUUAAAUUUAUGACAAAAUUAAUCUUAUUUAAGUAACUAAAAUUUUUAAAAAAUUAAUUAAAACGAAAUUAAAACAAGCACUAAGUUAAUUAACAGAAAUUAAAAUUACUUGGAAAAUGCAAUAGACUAAAACCUAGGAUUAUGGAUUCAUUUAACACUUCAUCUGAUACCAGCUUCUCUUAUUAUUUACAUUCAUGGGUGGUUUUACUAACCUAGAAUCUAAAGCUACAUACAAGUCUCUGUCAAGAUGCUUGCACAAAUACCUAACUUAAUUAGGUCACUAUAUGUCUAUAAUAAUCAAUUAAAUAAAGUUCAUUAAGUUAGUGUUCUAAUUUGGCUAUGUAUGGCAAUUGGCAUAUGUCUACCCGAAUCACGAGUCAGAUCACCUAAGUGACAUGAACAUACACUGUUCAAACCUUAGUCUAAUCUAAAAUCUCUCUGUUGCGUCUUAAUUAAAUUCACAAAUCAAUUAAUUAUUGGCCAAGCAAUCAAAAACAUUUAAAACAGAUUUGAAUAAUGAAAACUAUAUCCAUUUAUAGUAAAUAAAAGAGAAACAAAUAUUCAAAUUAUAUGUUGAAAUCCACCAUAAUCCUAAAAAAUUAAUUUAGCUCAUAAUAUCUAAUAAAAAUAAUAUCUAAAGAGAUUUAGCCAUGAAUUCAAAACAAGAAGAUAAGAAUAACACAAAAGAAAGAAAGAAACUAAUGUUGAAUCUUGGUAUCUUGAAACUCUUGCAAUUGCUCUUGAAUUCUUGCUUGAUUUGUAGCUCCAAUUCUCUAGAAAAGUUGUUGUCGUCUCCCUCUAAAUGCUCUCAAAAAGGCUCUUAAAUAUGUGCAAGCAUGCCCUACUUUCUAAUUUUUCAUCAAAAGUUUAAUUUUGGAAAUCGCGGUGGUCCCACGACCAUAACAUUCUACUGUCGCGCUGUCGUGGUCUUCCUUGGUAGCGCCUCGACUUUACUUUUUCAGCAUCAUGGUGCAGUGCUCUCAAGUUUUUGUACGAUGCCCCCCAUGAUGCUCAACACCACGGCAAUAGUUAUUGAUGCUGCAACGUCUCACUUUCAACACAGCAACCAUGAUUCUCUAGCAUCGCGGCGGUUUCACCAUGCUGCAUGAAGUGCAAAACUGCAUCUAUCUAUCAACUUUGAAUGUAAUUUUCACCUCAAUCUAGUCUGAACUGAGAAAGGUGGUAAACAUGAAAGUUGUAUCCUAUUUUCUUAGCUUUCCAAUGAAUCAAAAAUCACAUCAAUUGAAUUUUUGCAGCUCAAGUUAUCUUCAAAUUACUGCAACAUAUACGAGUGACACCUUCACUAUACUUGUGCUAUCAUAACUCAAUUUCACCUAGCUCGUCACAUGUCUUGCACAUAACUAUGAGAGAAAUAAACAUUAACUCUUCUUAAAGUAAAUUAAACCAAAAUAAAGUGAAAUUAAACUAACAAAAACUAAUUUAAUUAUUCAAUAUGUAAUCUAACUUAACUUAGAAAAACAACUAAAAUGCUUAAAUCUGAACCUAAAACUCAAAGGUCUAGCUACUAAAGUCCCUAAAAUGUAUUAAAAAUAACUCUAUAUAACGAAGUUAUCGCACCCCUAAACUUAAUAGUUUGCUAAUCCUUGAGAAAAACAAAGAACUAAAUGCAAUAACCUAAACAUGAAAACAUUUAGCUAGAGUUCAAUUGCACCGUUUCAUUAAUUACCUUUAAUACCCUCAAAAGCUCCUCCGUAUUCAUAACUUAAAUGCACAUACAAAUAUUAUUCAAGUUAAUGUCUCAAUUCAAACGCAAGCUUAUCUUUAAGUGAAUUUCUAUGUGUGUGUCCAAUAUAUCAUCUAGACAUUGUACAAUCUAGAUAAGUUCAUAUUCAUGCAAAAUUCAAAUUAGUGAUUAAAUUCCAGAAGUUUACUUUUCAUAUCUCUUUCCACUAAUAUAGACUAACACUAAAUCAAGGAUCAAUAGGACUUUAAUUAGCUUGUAAUGUAUGGCUAGGGUUAAGGUUGGAUAUGGGAUAAUAUACAGCUUAAAUCACUCUAAGCACAUAAUCAAUCUAGGACUUAUUCAGAGCUUUAAUUUCCUUCACCUAGUAUAGCCCUCUUUCAUCAAAAUUUUUCUUUUGUUCAACACUUCAUUCUUUUUCUUCUUCUUUCUUUCCCUUUUUCAUUUUCUAAAUUUUACACUCCCAAACUUAUUUUUUUUAUUGGGUAGUGAGAUGAAUACAAUUAUAUUUUGAACUUUUCUUCAUUUUUUCAUCUUGACUACCUCUUUCACUAUCUAACUCAUAACAUUUCCUAACUUGACUUAUGCACUUAGGAAUGAGGGAUAAAAGAAUUGUUGAAAAUAUUAAUAUAAGCGUCUAGGUUAAAAAGUAAGUGUUCAAACAAAGAAAAGGUGUCAUUAGGCUCAAAGGGGAAAACUAAGGAUAAAUUAUGAAAAAGAAGGCUACAAAAGGCUCAAUCGGUCUAAAAAUAAUCUAAAUCAUCUCCUUAACUAAUUGUAACCUAGAAUUUCACCUUAAGAGAGAAUCAAACAAAUUUUAGAACUUAAUACACAAUUCAAAAUUUUCACAUUCACAUAAACCUUCUCUAAAUUUCAUACAAUGAAUCUAAGCAAAAGACAUGAUGCUCAAAAUGUAAAAAUUUCAUCUUAACAAUAAAGCUUAUUAUAAGAAUUUACAUAACACUCAAACAAUAUUCAUAUGUUUCAAAGAAUCAAAAUAGGAAUGAAACUAAGUUCUCAUCAUUGGAUAGAUAAAUUAAACAAAACUGGCACAAUUAAAUCUAGUUCAAACACAAAUGCACAUGCAUAAAAAAAUUAACGAAAAUAAACUAACCUAAAAUAUCUCAAAAACUACUAACAAUAAAACCUACCCCCAAACUUAAAUUGCACAUUGUUCUCAAUGUGAAAAGCUAAAAAGAAUAAAAAAAAGAAGCUCCCAUAUCAAUGGUGACAGUGCGUUGAAAGCUUUAAUUGUCUUUAUACUUAUCUUCAUGCUUUCCAAACCUACAGACUCAACAAACAAGCUAAAGAGAGGUUAUAAGGACUUAUUUAAAUAGAAAAACACAACUAACUAAAAUAACAACACAACUUAAAAAGAUAUAGCAUAGGUUGCCUCCUAAGAAGUUCAUUUUUAUAGUCACUAACUUGGCUAUGAUACCCUAUUUUUGUUGUCUAUUGAAGUAAUUGAGGAUCUUUGGUGAUCCAAUUCACCUUACAAGUAAUGCUAGAGACGCUACUUGUUCACUUCGAAUGUUCUAGUAGUUUCACUAUAAAUAUUUAUUGCACCACAAUGAUAAAUAAUAACCACCUUGUAAGGGCCUGACCACUUUGAUUUUUGUUUCCAUGGACGGAGCUUGAUUGAUUUGGUCAAUAACACUUGUUGUCUUACUUUAAAAUCAAGAUUAUUUGAAGGUGGUGGAUCAUGUUCAUCAUAACAUUGUUUAGUUUUGAGUUGUGGUGGCGAUGGCUCUGAUUCAAGAAUUGCUACUUGCUUACUUGUAGGGUGUGGAGUAGGAUUACCUUUACCUUUAUCAACUAGGUCCACUCUAAAGCAUUGGGCUAUGGAUGAAGGGUAUUUAGGUGCAUUUAAAAUAGUAAAUUCCACUACCUCCUCUCUAACUGUGAAAGUUAUUCUUCCUUCCCUUACAUCGAUUAAUGCACCUACAUUGGCUAAGAAUGGAUGUCUCAAUACGAUAGGAAUCUCUUUAACUUCCUACAUCUCAAGUAUAAAGAAGUCCACCGGAAUGUAUAAUUUCCCCACUUUAAUUAAGACAUCCUCUAUAAUCCCAAAAGGUUGCCUUAUCGUCCUGUUUGUUAGUUGCAAUUUGAUUGUAAUGGGUUGAGUCUCCUUUAGUCCAAUUCUCCUAGCAACAAGCAAAGGAAUAAUUAAGACACCAGCACCUAAAUCACACAAAGCUUUUGAAAAAUUAACAGUACUAAUUGAGCAAGGGAUAGAGAAAUUCCUUGGGUUUUUAAGAUUUGGGGGAAGCGUAUUUUGGAUUAUUGCGCUGCACUCCUCUAUAAGUGUAACUAUCUCAAAAUCCUAUAAUUUCCUCUUCUUAGUUAAUAUGUCCUUCAAAAACUUCAUAUAUAACGACAUUUUCUUUAGAGCUUCUGUGAAAGGAAUGUUGAUAUGAAGCUUUUUGAAUACCUCAAGAAAUUUUUGGAAUUGCUUAUCAAGCUCUUGUUUCUAAAGGUGCUGAGGAAAGGGUGGUGGUGUAAAGUUGCCUUUACUUCCUUAUCUUGAAUUUGCUUGUCAACUAUCUCAUUCACUGUUUCAUUCUUAAUAAGCUUAUCUUGAAGAUUAGCUUGCCUAACACUAUUUCAACCUCUUUACCACUCGUUAAGGUGAUUGCCAUAACUUGUUUCUUACCUUCUCUUCUUGGAUUCACCUCUGUAUCGUUAAGCAAUAUUCCUUGAGGUUGGUUGUUUAAUAACUUUACAAGUUGACAAACCUAAGUCUCAAGGAAUCGAAGUGAUACUGCUUGACUCUGAAUGAGAACUGUUUGACUUUGUAUGAUGCUAUCAUUCUGUAUCAUGUACUACCUUAUCAAAUCUUCUACAACUAGCUUCUUUUAUAAAAGAGGUGCUCUGUCUUGCUGUUGGAAUCAUGCAGGUGCAUUUGGCCUUGAAGUUGAUGACGACCCUUGAUUAUUAGCUUAAGAGAAAUUGGGAUGAAUCCUCCACCUUUUGUUAUAUGUGUUGGAGAAAGGGUUAUUUUGUUGCCUAUUCCCCACAAAUUGUAUUGUUUUCUUUGAGCUAGGACACUGAUGGCUAGCAUGAUUAUCUUCACAGUACUAUAACACUACAAAGGGACUUUGAAUGGAGUUAGUACCAAAAGAUUCAAGUGUCUUAGUUAGAACAACUACUUGAGCGGAUAAUGUGGAAAAAACAUCUAUAUCAUGAAUGUCAGCCACUCUCAUAUGCAUUGAUCGCUCCACUGGCCACUGGUAGUUAUUUGCAGCCAUCUCUUCCAACAAAUUGCAUGCCUCAUCAAUCGAUUUAGCCAUUAAAGCUCCUUCUACUAUAGCAUCAAUUCAAACAUGCCCAUUCAACCAUUGUAGAAAGUUUGCACUUGAAGCCACUUUGGAAGACCAUGAUAAGCACAACGCCGAAGUAACUCUUUGUAUGUUUCCUAAGCCUUGUACAAUGAUUCAGAAUCUUGCUACAUGAAUGAUGUGAAAUCAUUCCUCAUUUUCGCUGUCUUAGCCGAAAGAAAGAACUUGGCAAAGAACUUCUGAGCAAGAUCAUCCCAUUUUGUUAUUGAGCCAGUGGGGAGCACAUUCAACUAUGCUUUAACUUUAUCCCUUAAUGAGAAAGGAAAAAGCUUCAAACAAAUUGCAUCAUUUGUGACACCAUUGUGUUUGAAGGUGUCACAAAUCUCUAAAAAGUUUGAUAUAUGGCCAUUUGGAUCAUCAUUUGGCAAAACCCCAAACUGGACUAAGGUUUGAAUCAUGGUGAUGAUAGCCGGCUUGAUCUCAAAAUUGUUUGCUUGAAUACCUGGCCUUCAAAUGCUUGAUGGAAUUCCUUGUACCAAAGGAACAGCAUAAUCCCUUAAGCAAUGAUUUUCAUCUAUUACACAUUUUUAGAUUUGUUGUUCACACUGCUGAUCAGCCAUUGUAUUUAUUGGAGCAACACCUUGUCGAUUUUCUAAUCGAAGUCUACGAAAUGUUCUCUCAAUCUCUGGAUCACACGGGAUAAUCUCCAAGUUGUUUGCUCUUCUCAUAUAAUGACUGAACACACCUACAAAACAAAAAAGUAUGACUUAAAUUAAGACUAAUUUGUGGAAUUUUAAUAUUACAAACAAUAAAGAAAACAAAAUCCCUGGCAAUGGUGCAAAAAACUUAGUGUCGAUCUUACACACGUAAGUAUACGUAAUGAACAAGUAAUAUUGAAAUACCCCAUACUUUGAUACGGUGAUACAUAAAGUUGAUCGAAUGCAAAUUGAAGUCGAUUAAAAUGUUUAGAAGUGAUAAAAGAUGAAAGGAGUAGUUUAGGAUAAAAUAUUUCGCAAGUGAGAAAAUAAUAAUAAAAUAAUAAUAAUUUUAUCGGAGGAGAAUUUGUGAGAAAAAAAGGAGAUUUGGAAGUCAAGUGAGGCAUAAUAAGGAAUUUUGGGUACCAAGGAGACAAGAUAAAAUUUUUAGAAUAAAAUAAUAUUUUAUUAAUAAAAUAAUAUUAAAAUAUUAAUAUUUAGCCGAAUGUCGAAGUCAAUCAAGAAGAAGGAUCAUAUGGUUGAUCCAAGUGGGGGAGAAGAUGACAAGCCCGACUCUAUAUAAAUAUUUUUCAUGACAUACAUUUGAUGGAUAACAUGUUUGCAUGCUAGGAGAGUCCCAAAAAAUUUACAAAAGUCGAUACUGUACCUAGAGGUACAAUAAAGUUGAUUUAAGCCUCGAACUAGAUCAAAUAGAAAAUUUACAAUGAAAUUAAGAAUUUUAAAGUCCCAGAAUGGUUUAAUAUGGUGAUUCGAAGUUCGAGGAUCAAUUUGGAGUCAAACCGGAAUUUUCGCUAUCUAGGGGCAAAAUGGUCAUUUGCCACUUGGGGACAAAAUGGGAAUUUCAGAAAAGAUUUUUUUUUGGCCCCAUAUGACUUAUUAGAGUAUAAUUUGACUUAUUGGAGUAAGAUUUGAGGUUUAGAAGUGAAAAAUUAUAAUUUCGGUAUAAUUUGGAGAAAAAGGGUAAAAUGGUAAUUUUGCCACCCCAGGGGCAAAAUUGUAAUUUUCCACCACCAGGACAUUUUUCCAGCACAUGGUCUUCCCCUAUCCUCAUUUUGACCAUUGACUAAUUGUGUGGUGGAGAUAAAAAGGAUUAAAAUUUUAAAAUUUUAAAAACAAGCCAAUGACAUGAUGCCACGUGUCAUGCCUUUAUUAAUUUAUUAUUUUCUUUUUUAAAAGGCACAAAAAAUCAGCUCAUCUUCCACCCCAUGGCCGGCCAAACCAGCAAGAAGAGAGAGAAAAUAAAAACAAAACCCUAGAGAGAGAAAAUCAAAGAAAAAGUGUGAAUUUUCAAGGAAAUUAAGUGAAAAAGGUGAGAUUUUUUCUAUUAAGCUUGAGUUUUCUUAUUCCCAAGCAUUUCUCUUUAUUUUCCAUGAUUAAAUUACAUGUUUUCAUGAUGAAUUCAAUUCUGAAAAAAUGGGUUAGGAGAGAGAAACUUGUUAGAUUAAUUUGAUUUUAAGUUAUGUUAGUGUUUUAAGUUAGUUUAGCAUAUUUAGAAACAAAACAACAAGAAAAGAACUUAUUUUCUCCCACAAUCAUUAAUGGCCAAACUUAUCAUGUGUUGAGUGAGGAUAAAUUUUAUUUUCAUUUUAGGAGAAUUGGUUAAGAAAUGAUGAAUUAUGAGCCUAGAAAAAUAAUGGAAAUUUUCGGAGCAAAAAUACGAUUUUUACCCACUAGGGGUAUUUUCGUAAUUUGCUAUCGAGACUAAUAAAUUGAAUCUCAUUCACAAUCAUGGAGGUAAUUUAGUUAUAAUUGGAGUGUAGAAAGUGAGAAGAAUUGAUUUGGAGUUAAAUUGGAGAUAAUAGGCCGAAUUAGGUCAACACCGCAUUUAAGCGGUAGUCGGAUAAGUUGUAUAUCCUAUCAUGCAUAUAUGCCGAGCCUGAAUUGAUUUUAUAAUGGUCAAGCAUUGAUGUGAUGAAUUAUGUAUUGUACAUUGUGGAUAGGUGGUGAGCAAAGUACAAUGGUAAAAGUACAGAAAUUGUGCUUGGAGACUGGGAUUAGGAGUACAUCGACUCCUAGAACUGUGAGUGAACUUAUUAUCGUCUUAAUUAUCUAGAGUAGUUUUAUACAACUGUAUGAUUUUAUGAAAAAUGGGUUUAAAUGGUAAAUUGCUAUUUUUUAAGAGAAAUUGUAAUUUUAUAAAAUGAUUUUAUAAAUUUUCUGGAAAAUCGAAUAUUGGUUUUGAAAAUAGAGUAAUUGGAGACUGUCUGCUUGUGUUGCAAAUUUGUGGUUUUGAAUUGAAUGGCUUAUGGCAAUAAAUGAGCAUGAAUGGCUAAACUAAUUUUGGUAUUAGAAUUAUUUAUACUGUGUAUUUAGCCUUGAGAGGCUAGGUUGCGAUAAAUUGUCAUGUCAUGCUAGAAUGAAUUUUAUUGAUUGAUGGAUUAUAUAUUAAUUAUUUACUGCAGAAGGGGUUCCGUGGACCAGCCUAUUAGAGGGGCACUGUAAACUCCAUUAUAUUAUUACCUCGAACGGAGAGGCGCGUAGAGUAUCUCCUAGGGUAAAGCUUAGGGUUCACUUCACGCCAAACCACCACGUGAAGAGGAACUCAGCCAACGCCAAGGAACGGCUGUAUUUUCUCAAACUAAAAAUAUAUUUUAAGUGUAUACGAAAUUUUAACAGCCUUGGCGGACUCGGUUGGAUGCCCUGCAUAAGGUAUCACCGAGUAUGAGUUUUGGCACGAGCCAAAGUUUCAAGAAAUUCAUAAGCCAAGUUGAUUACUCGAUUUUUAUGGAUUGAUUUUAUUUGGUUGAAAUGAGUUGAAAGGUAAUGAAAUUACAGUAUGAUGAUUUAUUUUAAUUGUCUCCAUUUACUCGACUUUAGAUAGUUUAGAUGGUAUCUAUUUACUCACUGGGAUUUUAUAAUCUCACCACCCUCAUUUCCUCACAUUUCAGGCUCGGGGAAUUCCAUAGUUAGUUGACUUUGACAAGGACCUUCAUUUGGACUCGAAUCGGUAAAAACUGUAGGUUUCCAGCUUUCGAUGCAUUUUGGAUAGAUGUGGGCCCACGUGUCACUGUAAAAGAA
rnacentral:lncRNA from 1 species